rnacentral:lncRNA from 1 species
CAAAAAGAAAACACUAUAAAAGCAAAUUUAACAUAAAACUAAAACACUUCUCUCUCUAAGUUAAACUUAGAGAGAGAAGCUCUCCCCUCCUUCAAAGAACACGCGACCGGAGAAGAUGAAGAGGGGCGGCCGGAGCUGCUCCGGCGCGGUGGUCGGCCGGAGCGCCGCCGCGCCGGAGUUUUUUUUUUUUUUUGCUUUUUUUUUGAAAUUUUUUACAGUUUCUAAAAUCCUUUUUCUUGCUAAACCCAAAUCCGGUCUCAGAAUUUCCAAAACAAACUCGUACAAGUCUAGAUCUAGGAACAAAGAUUCAAAAAAAGUGAGCAAAAAAAAUACCUCUACUCUCUCUCUCCGGUUCGGUUUGGUUGCUCUCUCCCUUGUUCCGGUUCGUUUUGUUUCUUUUUCCCUCUGGUCCGAUUCGUCUCUGUCUGUUUUGGUUCGGUUCUGAUUUUCUAAACUUUGGUUUUGGAUUGUGUUUGUGGUGCUUGGAUUAUGUGAUGUUUAUGUUGAUUUCUGGAAAAAGAUUAGGAGGAUGAAAGCUCAUGAAUAUUCAUGAAUGUUGUUGGUGAUAUUCAUAUUUGUUCUUAUGAUUUUUGUGUUUGAUCUGGUAAAGAGGAGAGAGAGAAGGAAAUUGUGUUUGUGACUUGAUUGGAAAAAAUGUGUGGUUGCUGAUUUUUCUGUGAACAGUGAUUUCUCUGACUCAUGAACAGUGAUUUUUUUUCUCUCCCAUUUCCCAAUGAUUGACAGUGUUUUUAUAGGGACAAACUAGGGUUGGCUCUGGUACAAACAAAUGACCAAAAUGCCCCUGCAGCUGAGACUUGGAGAAAAAGAUUUGACCAAAAAGAUAAAUAGAUAAAUAAAAAACAAAAUGAAUAAAAUAAAUAAGAAAAUAAUAAAAAAAAUAAAAAGAAAAGAAAAGAAAGAAAGAGGUCACGUGAGUGACUUCUUUUUGUUUUUUCUAAAAAAAAAAAAAAAAAAAAAAGAAUAAAUAAUAAUAAACAAACUAGCCUAAAAAGAAAAUAAAAAAGUCCCUUCGGAAUCUGACAUGAGGUACUUCAAAGUAUCCUCCCUGCCGAAAUUUUGAUUGAAAAGAUUAAUAAAAAAAACGCCUUUUAAAAUGCGAUUAGCCAUUUUAAAAUGACUUGUCUGUUAUGACUAAAAGGAUUAUAAAAUGCGUUUAUAAAAAUGCAAAUGGAGUGAUUUUAAAUGUUGUAAAAAAUGCAAGCGAGGACUUAAAUGCAAGAUGAAAGUUUUUAAAUGAUUAAUGACGAAAAACACGAGUUUUAAAAGGUAAAAAAAACGAAUAAAAGAGAAUCUGAACUAUUAAAAAAUGUGGACAAAAAAGAUUUCAAAUGGUCCAAAUUUGGGGUAUGACAGAUGCCCCUAUUUAAGUUUCUUCGUCACGAAGGGUUUAAAAGGGGACCUUUUAAACCAAAGGGUCGAGGAGACUUAAAUAUAUAAAAAACGCCAAUUUUGGACCGUUUGAAAUGCCAGGGAUGUGAUGCUGAUGAAUGUGAUGAUAUGACUGAACAUGAUGCAAGUAUGAAUGUAAAGAUAAUGCAUAAAGACUGACUGGGGUUCAAUUGGAUAGGUAUCACUGGGGAAAGAACUGAUAAAUAAUGCUUAAAGUCGCCGUGAGAUAGCUUGAAACAACUAGAGUAUGAACGAUGAUGUUUAUUAACGUUGCUUCAAGAUAAGAUAAGGAUAUGAUUAGCCGACGAGUGGCAACAGUAAAGACAUGAUUAGCCGACGAGUGGCGGAAGUAAAGACAUGAUUUGCCGACGAGUGGCGCAAGUAAAGACAUGAUUGGCCGACGAGUGGCGAAAGUAAAGACAUGAUUGAGCCGACGAGUGGCGAAAGUAAAGACAUGAUUUAGCCGACGAGUGGCGAAAGUAAAGACAUGAUUAGCCGACAAGUGGCGAAAGUAAAGACAUGAUUAGCCGACGAAUGGCGAAAGUAAAGACAUGAUUUAGCCGACGAAUGGCGAAAGUAAAGACAUGAUUAGCCGACAAGUGGCGAAAGUAAAGACAUGAUUAGCCGACAAGUGGCGGAAGUAAAGACAUGAUUUAGCCGACCAGUGGCGAAAGUAAAGACAUGAUUUAGCCGACCAGUGGCGAAAGUAAAGACAUGAUUGGCCGACGAGUGGCGAAAGUAAAGACAUGAUUUAGCCGACAAGUGGCGAAAGUAAAGACAUGAUUGGCCGACGAGUGGCGAAAGUAAAGACAUGAUUGGCCGACGAGUGGCGAAAGUAAAGACAUGAUUUAGCCGACGAGUGGCGAAAGUAAAGACAUGAUUUAGCCGACAAGUGGCGAAAGUAAAGACAUGAUUUAGCCGACGAGUGGCGAAAGUAAAGACAUGAUUUAGCCGACAAGUGGCGAAAGUAAAGACAUGAUUGGCCGACAAGUGGCGAAAGUAAAGACAUGAUGGACCGACAGGGUUUGCUAACAUUGUGGGAUAGCGCACACACGGUAAAAAAACGGCAAGACAGACCAUUGGCAUUUGCUAAAAGCAAAGCCUCCGGUGAAAGUAAAGACAAUGUAAAGCUUGGUAUCAGGGGAGUGACUUGAUAAAGAUAAAGUUGAGGGGAACAAGGAAUUUGUCUGAAGACAACGGGGAAUUGUAUAGACUGAUUACUGGUGAGACCUGCCCCUUUGGAACAUGUUUGAUUUGAUGACAUUUUGGAGUUAGACACACUGGGGGUGAUAUCUAAGGAUAUUGAAAUAAGUCAUUGGGUAAAAAUGCAACUAUGUAUGAAUGAUCUUUAUAUGCGUGCUAUGUAUGCAUGAAUGAAUGAGUAUGUAUGAGAUUUGUAUAACAAUGCAAUGGUAAGAUUGGUUGAGACCAGAUUGGGCAUGUCCACAAGGAGAAUAGUCCGGCAUCACUGUGCGAACGCUCGAAACUUUCAUUGGGGAUAAAGUCACUGGAGAUGCAAUCAAGCCACUGCUGGGGUAAGACCCAAUGGUCAAAAGCUGGGGUAGAAGUCGCCAUUCCACAAACACAAUGUCGUACUGUCUUGUCUGAAUAGUCAUUGCUUUUUGUAUAUAUUUUGAAAUCCCUAACUUUUGCCUGGAUCGUCCUUUCGGAUUUUGGAUCCACCGGGGAGGUAUUUUUUCGUGUGCCCCUAAUUUUUUGCCUGGACCGCCCUUUCGGGUUUUUGAUCCACCAGGGCGCUCAUUUUUUUUGUUUUUUUUUUUUUGUUUUUUUUUUUUUUUUUGCAAUGACUACUGCUUCUUCGUUGAACUUGUUAGUUUCGGACCAACUGUUGACACAUACUUCUGUAUUUUCAAACUGUUCGAUGGAGAACAUGUCGUUUGAAAUACUGAGGAAGCGAGGUAAAGUGGAUUUCCAAACUGUUCAAAGAAGAACGUGCCAUCUGAAAUAUUGUGGAUUGGUGACAUCUCUGGAUCAGCCAAACUAGUGAUGACGCUUUGAAUGAGAUACAAUUGGAAUAAGACACUGGAUGGUAAUGCAAUUUAUGUAUAAAUGAUAUUUGUAUGCAUGUUAAAUGUGCAUGAAAGUUAUAUGCAUGUAUAUGUAUAUGAAUGAAUGUAUGAAUAUACGCAUGAAACUUGUAGGACCGUAUGACUGUAUCUAACAGGUGAAACUGACAAACAAGACUGGAUAGGUAAGAUAGGAGGUUGAAUGACAUCGCAGUACAAACACUCAGCAAUCUUCAUUGGAAAUAAAAUCACUGGCGAUGAAUCAAAUUAAUGUUGGGGUAAAGCACGAUAUCAAACCACUGGCAGGGGAAACAAACCAUUAAUCAGACCACUGAAGGGAGAAUGCCCCAUAAUCAAACCACUUGAAGGGAAAAUGCCCCAUAAUCAAACCGCUUGAAGGGAUAAUGACCCAUUAAUCAAACCACAAGCAGAAGUUGCCAUUAAUCAACCCACAUGCAGAAAUCGCCUUCAAUCAAACCACUAGAGAGGUACCAACCCAUGUUUUGGCAGAAGUCGCCAUACAUCAAACCAUAGGCAGAAGUUGCCAUUUGUAAACCAAUACCGAGUGCAUUCUUCCAUUUGACCCUCUUGCACUGUGAUGUCUCUGUCUCUUUUUUUUUUUUUUUUCAUUUUUUUUUUUUUUAUUUUUUUUUUUUUUUUUUGAAUCCCUAACUUUUGCCUGGACCGCCCUUUCGGGUUUUCAGUCCACCGGGACGCUCAUUUUUGGCUUAAGCCGCCCUUUCGGGUUUUCGACUUAGCAAGCUUUUUACUUUUUUUUUUUGACAGAGGUCAUCUCACAGCUUUUAGUCAUGCCAACCUUGCAGAGUUUAACUGUCCUUGAGACGGAUGUUGAUGUAUGUUUCACCUGCUCAUAAGUUCAAAGAACAUGUACUUGUUGUUUAUGCUUUUCAAAAGACAUGAUAAAAGUUUUUUUUUUUUUUUUUUUUUUUUUUUUUUUUAAAAAGAUUUUUUUUGAAUUUUUUUGCUUUAGGUAUUAACAUCAAAAAUAGAAGAAAAAUUUGCAAACAGAAUAAAUGAGAAUUUUAAAUAAAUGGGCACAAGCUCAAGUUAAUGUAAAUGGAAUGGUGGCCUGCCAAGGCGUGGCUCCACAGAUUUUAAAAGUUUGGAAAAAUAGUAAUUAUAUGGAAAAGGUACGUUGAACACAAUAACCACUGUUUCCUCUACCAACUUUGAAUUCCACUGUUUUGAGUCUUUGAUUUGCAGACGCUUCAGAUCGGAAGCCCUUUAACAGCUAAGAUGCCCCAGAUGAAUCAUAUCUGAUUUGAUGCAAUUACCUUGCCAUGAGUCGGAGGUCUUUUGACGGCUGAAAUGCCCCAUAUGAGUCAUGUCCGACCAGAUGCAGUUACUUUGUCAUGAUCCUUAACUUUUGCAUAGAUCGCCCUUGCGGGUUUCAACCUAUCAGGAUAAUCAUUUUUUUUUAUAUGUCUCUAACUUUUGCAUGGACCGCCCUUUCGGGUUUUCAGUCCAUCGAGACGCUCUUUUUUUGCCUAAGCCGCCUUUUCCGGUUUGCGACUUAUCGAGCUUUUUCAUUUUAACAAAGUAUUUCUUGACUGCAUCGGUAUACACAGGACAUACAAGUUUAACCUCAUGCUUUGUAUUAGGCAUUCAUUGCUCCUGAAGUUUGUUUAAAUCAGAUAGCAUAACUUUUGAGCACAAUGCCACUCUCUUGACAUUCAUGGGGACGAGCCUUCUCUUGUUGAAAACAUGCUUUUGAUACAAUUGUUCACGCCAUACAGCAAUAACACUUUUAAAUUCAAUCAAGCUUAGCUUUCAUUGGAACUCCCGUUGAUGGGACUUUGACCUUCAUGUGAGGCAUUGCCUUUAUGUUGUAUACUGAGGGAUGGAGGGGGGGUUGCCCCUGCUGAAGUGUUUACUUGAAGUACAAUAUCCUUGCAAGGAAAAUGGUGGCAUCUCGUGCCGGUCUUUGUACAUGAAAGUCAUCUUCUGGACAAUCUCUCUUGAUAUUUGCAGCUUCGACGGCCAAGAUGCCCCAGUAGGCGAGAAAUAUCAGUGGAAGCUUCUUCAUCAUCCUCUUCUUCAACCUCGGAUACAAGGAACUCAAAGUCGAGAGAGAGUACAUGGUUUAAGUGUUCAACGGGUUUAUUAAUGCAUGAUUUGAUUAUUGAUAUAAACAUUAUGAUUAUGCAGAUAUGUGGAAAUGAUUAAAGAAACAGUUUUUUUUUUGUUUUUUGUAUUACCAUUUUUCCAGAAAAAGCACAAAAUAAAACAAAGUCGGGAUCAAGACGACCUUUCACUAAUGAUGAAAAUACAUAAAGCAAAAAUCCCUAAACAAAUUCACUCUCGCCUCGGGUGGGACGAAAGGAUUUUUUUGGAAAAACAUAAAGCAACAAACAAACAUAUUAAUUGAACAAAAGAGUAGUAGAAAUAAACAUCAACAAAUACCAAAUUGCAACUAAACACUCCACAUGCCACCACAAGGUCCAAAGAUCCGAUAGAGGAUUAACUUGCACAUUCAGAUCCAAACUCUUCGAAAGGUAUGAGAUCGUCUUCAAUCAGUUUCUGGACCGCAAUCUUCAAAGAAAAACAGCGCUCGACAUCAUGACCUUGUGCCCCUUGAUGGAAAACACAAAAGAGAUCAGGUCUCCAUCGAGCCGGCAAUAUUUUCGGUAUCGGAGGAGGUGGUCUGGUUUGGACAAGGUUCCUCUCAAGCAAAUAGGGAAGCAACUUUGCAUAUUUAAUUGGAAUUGGAUCAAAUUUUAUUCUUGGAGCCUGUAGUCGAGGUUGUUGUUGAUAUUGUUGAGAUUGGGACUGAUAACCCAGAUCUUGGACCGCGUUCAUGAUGGGCAUAACAGCAGAAACAGAGAGAGGAGCCAGAUAUUGUUGUUGGCUUGGUUGAAACUGGGGUUGAUAACCCGGAUCUUGAACAUUGGUGAUGGGUGUAACAGCAGCAACAGAGUGAGAAGCCAGAUGUUGUUGUUGAAGUAGCACUUUUAUAUCUGGGUCUUCAAUCAACUUCUGAACUUUUUCCUUCAAAGGAUAAUACUGCUUAGUGUCAUGAUCUCGUGCCCCUUGAUGGAAGGCACAAUUGCGGUCAGGACGAUACCCGGGAGGCAGCGUAUUUGGCACAUGAGGAGGUGACGGGGUUUGAACAAGGUUCGUCUUCAGCAAAAUGGGAAGCAAAUCCGCAUAUUUCACAGGAAACGGGUCACACUGCGAUGCUUUUUGGGCCUGAUUUUGAGGUAUAAGCGGUUGAGGAGACUGAUUUUGAGGGAUAAACCGCUGAGAACCCUGUUGUCGAGACCGUUUCAUGCAUAUUGGCUGACAUAGUGCCUGAGGCCUUUGUUGGACAAGCGGUGGAUCCUUUGUAGCCAUCAAUGAAGAUACAAGGCUAGUUAACUUCUCUACCUCAGCCCGAAGUGUUGUUAUUUCUCCACGAAGCUCGUGGACCUCUUGCUCAAGUUGAUCCAUCUUUUGUGUUUGCACGAGUGUCUGCAUAUGUGAGCCGAACUUGGAUGAAGACAUCUGACCACUUUACUGUUGGAUUGACCUUUUGUAGGUAAAAACAAAAAUAUGAGACAUGGACUAGAAACUAUGAAUGCAAAGAUGAUGCAUGAUAUGCUUAUGCAAAAAUAGAUUUUUUUUUUUUUUUUUUUUUUUUUUUUUGAAGGACUUGUUAAAGUGAAAUGUAAACAUGGCAGAGGAACAUGGUUUCAUUUGAAAAUUGUCAAGAUAUUUACAAUAGGUUUCUUUUUCAAAAGGUAAGAACGAAACCAAGGAAGAAGUUCUUUAACAUAAGCUAAAAGCUUAGUUAAGAUUUUGGAAGUUGUAUUUCUCGGUGUUCAUUCUUACAAGGUCCAUAUCCGUGAUGUUUACAAAAACUUGUCUAAGUCCUUCAAAAAAAUUUUUUUGAUGGAAAAGGUUGUUUAUGAAUGAAUGCAUGUAUGCAUGGUUAUGCUAAGUGGAUAGAAUACAUGGUGAGGGUAAGUUCCACAACGUUGGAGUCAAUGGUAACAACGCCAUUUGGUAAGGACUAUGGUUUCAAAUGUACCUGUAUCACGGGUUCUACCAAGUUCCCAAAGUCUUUAACCACUUCCGAAUAUUUAUCGGGUGACAGGAGUACUCCCAUUCCAAUUAUAUUCGUCGGAAAGUCUCGUUUGGGUGUAGUAUCGCGUAUCAACUAAUUCAAGAGUACUCUCGAUUAGCCACCGCACUACGUCCUAAAAGGCCAAGAGGGGUUAAAGGUGACUAAAGGUCCUCAACUUCAAAGGUCACUUGAAAAUAGCAUGCCAAACAUGAGUACUCACGUUGACAACAUAUACUUCCAAGAUCCCUCCGUUGAGUGGGGUUAUCACAUGUGCCAAUACCGAAGAGUACUCUUGGCAUGGAACUAUGAUUAUACCGCCGUCCUAUCUUAAGUUUCCCUCAAGCUCGGGUGUAGAGCUUAUCUCACCACUCACGUAAUAAAGUAAACAUGUAAGCAAAAUAUUUGCAAAGCAUAAAUAAAGCACAAAAUAAAUAAAGCAAGGUGGGUUUAACCCGCGUAGGAUCUAAGUCCCCAGUGAAGUCGCCAUUUCUGUGCUCGCGAUUUUCGGAUGUCAAACCAUUAAUUGAUUUGAAUCGUCGAUCUUUGAACUCUCGAUUUUUAUUCUUGGGAAGGGAAAAAAUGAGUAAAAACCCUUAUCGAGACUUUGGAUUCGGGGGUUGGUUACGCGAAGGGAAGGUGCUAGCAUCCUAAGCGUCUAUGGUAUUUCAUAGGAACCUCUUACCUAGAUUAUUUUGUGCUAAACUACUUGUUUAUUUGAAAAAAUAUUGCCUAACGUCUAAGUGAAAGAAUGGAGGGAGAAGAAGUAUGUUUUUGGUUAUUUUUAUUUGAUUUGGAAGGACGAGUCCUCUGCCUACGUACCCUUUUUGGGAAAGGGAUCAAAACCGACGUAGUUCCACUCAAGAAUUUCUUUGGUGGGUUAGGUUGAUUUUAAGAUUUUUUUCGAAAAUGGGUUUUAAGAAGAGAAAGAGGCCUCAAGGCAUGAGAUAAAGAAAACAAGUGAGGUUGAUUGAUUUUAAAUUUUGAAAAUGAUCGAAGUUGAAUUAAAAUUGAUUGAGAAUUUGAUUAAGAAAAUAAAGAGAAAAUGUUGUUAAGAAAAUGAUUUUUUUCUAAACUAACGGUGAAAACUAACGUAACGUCGUAAACUAACGGAAAGCGGUAAAUAAAAUGUGGUAGUGUCGGUGCAUGUGUCGGUGCUUGUGUUACCUACAUUAUUACACCAAUUCCUAAAUACAAACCUAAGGCCUUUAUGCCAAAAUAAAAAUGCAAAAAAAUAAAAUUACAUCAAUUCCCUAUUUAUACAUACUAAGCCAAUGACAAGAUAAAAUGAUGAGAAAAUUAAAUAUGCAUGCUAUGAUUUAAGACAAAAAUUAAAUGGUUAGUAAUCACAAGAAAUAUUAUGGUGAAUGAGACAUAAGAAAUAAUAAGCAAGAAUUAAGACAAAUAAAAAUUAAGGUCAUCAUAUAAGAAAUAAAUAAGAAACCAUAAAAAAGGAAAACAAAUAGAAAGGAUUUUUAAAAUUAGAGAAAAUUAAAAUAGUGAGAAAAAUAUUUUUUGGAAUUUUUCUAAACACAAAAAUGUCAAAAAGUGCAAAAACAGUAUUUAACAAAUAAAGAUAAUUGAAAUAAAAAAUAAUAAAACAUUGGCUCAGCAGGAUUAAUUCUGGACCAUUGGAUUAAAUCAAUGGUCCAAGUUCAAACCCCUGGAUUCAUCAUAGCCAUUGGAUCAAAGAUCCAAGGGUUAAAAAAAACACAAAAAUAGAGAAGGUAACAAAAGAAAGCACAGCGACCGUCAGAUCAACGAUCUGACGGUUCAAACAGAAAGCAUACCACAGUCCACACAGCAGAACACAUACAGAAUUUAAAACAGAUCAAACAGUGGCCGUCAGAUCAUGGAACGAUCCAGAUCUGAUGGCUACUAACGCGAUGGAGCAUUGUAUGGUUAUGAGUACGUGCGCGUGUGAUCCGGCAAAAAGAAAACACUAUAAAAGCAAAUUUAACAUAAAACUAAAACACUUCUCUCUCUAAGUUAAACUUAGAGAGAGAAGCUCUCCCCUCCUUCAAAGAACACGCGACCGGAGAAGAUGAAGAGGGGCGGCCGGAGCUGCUCCGGCGCGGUGGUCGGCCGGAGCGCCGCCGCGCCGGAGUUUUUUUUUUUUUUGCUUUUUUUUUGAAAUUUUUUACAGUUUCUAAAAUCCUUUUUCUUGCUAAACCCAAAUCCGGUCUCAGAAUUUCCAAAACAAACUCGUACAAGUCUAGAUCUAGGAACAAAGAUUCAAAAAAAGUGAGCAAAAAAAAUACCUCUACUCUCUCUCUCCGGUUCGGUUUGGUUGCUCUCUCCCUUGUUCCGGUUCGUUUUGUUUCUUUUUCCCUCUGGUCCGAUUCGUCUCUGUCUGUUUUGGUUCGGUUCUGAUUUUCUAAACUUUGGUUUUGGAUUGUGUUUGUGGUGCUUGGAUUAUGUGAUGUUUAUGUUGAUUUCUGGAAAAAGAUUAGGAGGAUGAAAGCUCAUGAAUAUUCAUGAAUGUUGUUGGUGAUAUUCAUAUUUGUUCUUAUGAUUUUUGUGUUUGAUCUGGUAAAGAGGAGAGAGAGAAGGAAAUUGUGUUUGUGACUUGAUUGGAAAAAAUGUGUGGUUGCUGAUUUUUCUGUGAACAGUGAUUUCUCUGACUCAUGAACAGUGAUUUUUUUUCUCUCCCAUUUCCCAAUGAUUGACAGUGUUUUUAUAGGGACAAACUAGGGUUGGCUCUGGUACAAACAAAUGACCAAAAUGCCCCUGCAGCUGAGACUUGGAGAAAAAGAUUUGACCAAAAAGAUAAAUAGAUAAAUAAAAAACAAAAUGAAUAAAAUAAAUAAGAAAAUAAUAAAAAAAAUAAAAAGAAAAGAAAAGAAAGAAAGAGGUCACGUGAGUGACUUCUUUUUGUUUUUUCUAAAAAAAAAAAAAAAAAAAAAAGAAUAAAUAAUAAUAAACAAACUAGCCUAAAAAGAAAAUAAAAAAGUCCCUUCGGAAUCUGACAUGAGGUACUUCAAAGUAUCCUCCCUGCCGAAAUUUCGAUUGAAAAGAUUAAUAAAAAAAACGCCUUUUAAAAUGCGAUUAGCCAUUUUAAAAUGACUUGUCUGUUAUGACUAAAAGGAUUAUAAAAUGCGUUUAUAAAAAUGCAAAUGGAGUGAUUUUAAAUGUUGUAAAAAAUGCAAGCGAGGACUUAAAUGCAAGAUGAAAGUUUUUAAAUGAUUAAUGACGAAAAACACGAGUUUUAAAAGGUAAAAAAAACGAAUAAAAGAGAAUCUGAACUAUUAAAAAAUGUGGACAAAAAAGAUUUCAAAUGGUCCAAAUUUGGGGUAUGACACCGUCGAAGGGGAAAGAUGUAGGCCGAAUUCUUUUGUCCCUUGAAUGUAUCGUAUAAUGCGUUUUAGGGCUGCAAAAUGCGAUGUUCGUGGAUCAUGCAUAGAGACAAAUUUGUUGAACUGCGUAGGAGAUGUCUGGCCUUGUAAAUUUAAGAUAUUGGAGAGCACCGGCAAGUGAACGGUAGAGUGUUGGAUCCUCAAAUUUUUCACCAGAAGUUGCACUUAACUUGGAUUUGGUGUCCACUGGUGUGAGUGCCGGUUUACAAUUCACCAUUUUAGCACGAGAGAUUAUGUCUUCUGCAUACUUGGAUUGAUGCAAGAAUAACCCACCAGAAUGACGAGUAGCCGACACGCCUAGGAAGUAAUUCAAAGGGCCCAAGUCCGUCAUGGAGAAUUCAGACCGGAGAGCAGCAAUAAUGGUGUCACGAAGAGAGUGUGAGGAUGUAGUGAGAAUAAUAUCAUCAACAUAGAGAAGAAUAUAUGUUGUGUCGUCACCAUGAGUAGAGAUAAACAGAGAGUGGUCGGUCUUGCUAUUGAGAAAACCGAUGGUGGAGAGAAAAGAUGCAAACUGUUGGUACCAUGCUCUUGGGGCUUGUUUAAGGCCAUAUAGUGAUUUCUUUAGAAGACAGACAUGAUCCGGAUUAUUUCGAUCACGAAAUCCAGGAGGCUGAUGCAUGUAGACGGUUUCAGAAAGGUGUCCAUGGAGAAAAGCAUUCUUUACAUCAAGUUGAUGAAUGGUCCAAUUCUUUGACACUACAAUGCUUAGUACCACACGAAUAGUAGCUGGUUUCACCACUGGACGGAAAGUCUUGUCACAGUCGAUACCCACCUGUUGAGACCUGCCAUUGACAACAAGACGAGCCUUAUACCGCUCCAAAUCACCGUUAGAUUUAUAUUUGUGUUUAAAAAACCAAAUACAUCGAGUAAUAUUAACAUCAGGAGGACGGGGAACCAAGACCCAAGUCUUAUUUUUAAUAAGAGCAUCAAAUUCGUCGGUCAUGGCCUGUUUCCAAUUCCUAUCAUGGAGUGCGGAUAUUGGGCAUUUGGGAAUUGGUGAGAUUGAGGUGGUGAUAGAGAGGUCAAAAAUGGCUUUGGGUUUGUGAAUGCCAUGUUGUGCUCGUGUUCUCAUUGGGGGAGAGGGGAUAGGUGAUGUGGCUACAGUUUGAUGUGUGGGUUCGGGUGUGGUUACCUGAGGAGCUAUAGGAGAAGUAGUGGGUGAUGUAGUAGGUGUUAUUGUUUGGACGUUAGAUGCAGGCGGAGAGUGGAUAAUGUGUGUCAUAUACGGGGAUGGGUCGCUGUCUAAAAAAGAGUAAGAAGAGGCAGGUGUAGGUGGGUUAUGUGAUAGGGGAAAGAUUGACUCAUUGAAGGUUAUAUGACGAGCCGUGAUAAUCUUACGUGAGGAUAUGUCGAGACAGAGGAAGCAACGAUGAUGUGACGGAUAGUCGAGGAAGACACAGGGAGUGGAGCAUGCAUCGAGUUUAUGAGUUGUCGAUGACGGGAGGUGGGGAUAACAUAGACAACCAAAGGUUUUUAAUGAACUGUAAUCUGGGUGUCGGAGGUAGAGAGAAGAAGUGGGGGAGACAAAUUUCUUUGACUUGCUAGGAAGGAUAUUGUGUAGAUAGGUUGCCAUAGAGAGGGCGUAGUGCCAUUUUGAAGGGGGAAUGUUAGCGUGAAGCAAAAGGGUUCUUAUCGUGUUGUUGAGUGUUCUAAUUUUACGUUCGGCUUUUCCAUUUUAUGGGGAGGUGUGAGGACAGGAAAAUCUAAAUGUCAUGCCAUGUUUUUUGAAAAAUUCAUGAAAUGGUGAAUUAUCGUACUCACGACCGUUGUCGCAUUGAAGAUUUUUAAUAGGGCAAUUAAAUUGGGUUGUAAUAAACGUGUGAAAUUUAGUGAAGAUAUUAAAAACUUCCGAUUUGUGUUUGAUGGGAAAAUUCCAAAGAAAGUUAGUAAAAUCGUCAAGAAAUAACACAUAAAAACGAUGACCCAUAGUGCUAACAACAGGUGAGGUCCAUAAAUCACUGUGAAUAAUAUCAAAUGGAUAACAUGUAGAAGAAGUAGAUGAAGAAAAAGGUAAUUUUGUAUGUUUACCCAACUGACAUGAAUGACAAAAAUGUUUAGAAAUCGAACGACAUGAGAUAAAGUUAUUAUUACGAAGAACACUAAAAAUGGCUGGACUCGGGUGGCCCAAGCGGUUGUGCCAAGUAGAGGCGGAAAAGGUCGUGAGAGCUUGAGGUGUUGAACUUUCGGUUUGGUGCGUGGGUAGGAGAGGGUAGAGCCCGCCCAAACUAUUGCGCCUCAUAAGUGGCUUCCCUGUCUGCAUAUUCUUCACAGUAAAACCAAAACGAUCAAAUUCAACAGAUACGUUAUUAUCAGAAGUGAAUUUUCUAACUGAGACAAGGUUUUUAAUAAUAUGUGGGGCAUGGAGAACAUUUUUUAACUGUAAGGGUGGUAAGGGAGGUUGAAGCUACUUCACUCCAUAGCCAAGAAUUGGAAUUUCAGUACCAUUUCCAACAAUAAUUUUAUUAUUGGUGCUCAAAUUAAAAUAAGAAGAGAGGGUACCUAAGUUCGACGUCAUAUGGGAGGAUGCUCCUUAUCCAUAUACCAAUUGUCGUCAAGCUGCUGAAGAGACAUGGUCUGCAUAGUGGCUGCAAUGUCAGUGGGUACAAGCGCCCCUUGCGGUGUACAAAGAGUCUGAUUUUGGGCAAGAAAAGCGUGUGGUCUAGGUCCCAAAACACCAGCACCACGACCAGUAGCAGAAGGAGCCCAGCCCGUGGUAGGGUAUGGACAUGGUGGUGGAUUCCAGGGUGACUGUUGUGGCCAAGAGGGAGGCGCAAAAGGAACCCAUGUCCAAGGAGCAGGCUGAUUUCCUUGUCUGUUAUUUGUGCCAGAGUUAUUUUUGUUAUUAUCAGAGGAAUUCUUGUAAGAGUUACCUUUGUUAUUAUUAUGAUUUCCCUUGCCACGAUAUUGCUUUCCACGACCUCCGGUGUUGCGGUUGCUGUAGCGAGAAGGUGCAACCUCAGAAGACCGGUUAGGAGCGGCAGAAGAAACAUCAGAUUGUGUGUGGACGAGAGCAGACUCGGCACCAGUGUUCUUAUUGCGACGGGUUUCCUCAAGUGUGAGCAUAGAUCUCGCUUUGUAGAACGAUGGCAGCGGAUCUAGUUGUUGAAUGAUGGUGGCGAGACUAUCGUACCCACUUGAGAGGCCUGUCACAAGGCGGAGGACCAGGCGAUCCUCGCUGACCGGAGCCCCAACAUUGCCGAGUUGUUCGGCUAUCAGUUUCAAUGCUUGGCAAUAAGACGACGCAUUUGGAUAAUUAUCCAUGUGGAUUUGGGAGAAUUGUUGUUCCAGAUAUACGGCUCUAGAGUUUUUAUUGUCGUGAAAGAUGUCCUUCAAGCGAUUCCAUGCUUCUUGAGCGGUGGCACCGGGUUUUAGAAUCGUAUGGAGGAGAUCAAUGGAUAUUGUGCUAUAAAUCCAUUGUUUCACGAUUGCAUCGAGGCAGGACCAUUGUGCAUCUUCCUUAACAGUCGCAUUCUUGGGUGGAAUGAUGUGAUCAGCGACAUCAAAUGCAUUGGCCGCAUUAAGGAACAAUUCUGCCCAUGAAUCGUAAUGAACGUUCUCCAUUUCUAGGGUGAUUUGAAUGUGGUUUUUGAUGUUUGAGACAGAAAAAGCAGGAUGGAAAGUGGAUUUAGGUGUGGAGUCGUUGCCAGCCAUUUGAAAAGGGAAGGAAUGGGCUCGGUGGAGAGGAGAAAAGAAAACAGAGGAUGAGAUGAUUGUGGGGGAUCGUUAUAGGGUUGAUACCAUACUGGAGAAUAAUUCCCCUCUGUGUUUCAUUCCAUUCAUGGUCAUUAUAUAUAUGUACAACAUAACUUGCUUCUUGAUUUCCUGUGAAACCAGUUCACAUAUUCUAGCCUAAGACUUGGCAUAGUAUCACACUAAUUAUGAAUAAUAUCAAGCUAAUAAUUACAAUGAAGACUAGUUAUUACAAUGAAUGUGGACAUAUAUACAUAUAGUCUAAUAGUCGCAAUUUAGAUGGCGCGCGGCACUCUUUUCCAAUGGAAGGAAGCAAGAAAUGUGAAUGUUGUGUAGGUCCAGCCGCAACAAAUUAAUAUUGUGGUGAAUUUUUUGCAGGGCCAGCAGCAACAUAUUAAUAUUGUGCAGUGGCAGCCACCAGAGACGAAUUACGUUAAGUGCAAUGUUGAUGCAACACUGUUUGCGGAACAACAUAGCUUUGGAAUUGGAAUGUGUAUCCGGAAUCACCGAGGUCAUUUCAUCAAAGCGGCAACGACAUGGCAUGAUGGAAUUCCACCACCGCAGGAAGCAGAGGCAAUCGGUUUACAUGAUGCUAUUCUUUGGCUUCGACAAUUGGGAAUAUCAAAUGUGCACUUUGAGCUAGAUUGUAAGCUAGUAGUCGAUAGCAUACUUGAUAGGACUAAUAAUCAAGCUGAGUUUGGUAAUAUAAUAUCUAUAUGUAAGUCUCUACUAUCCCAAUCUCCAAACUUUAAGAUAAGUUUUGUUAGGAGGCAAGCGAAUUCCGUCGCCCAUAGCUUAGCAAAGGUGUCACGGAUGCAUGCUCGUCACCAAGUGUUUGAUUUGAUUCCAUCUUGUAUUGACUCUAUUGUGAGAAAUAAAAUAAUUUGAGUUUUUGUUUGUAAAAAAAAUCAUAAUAUACAUGUUGUUUCAAUAAUAUGAGGUUUAAUUGCAGUUUUGUUCCACGCAAAUUUUGAAACUUUCUAAAAUGAAGCUAGAGUGGACAUUUACUUGUUUGUUACUUGUAUACUAGCCUUUAUUUAUAUGGAGAAUGUUAACCUGUGUCCCUGAGGCAUUGAUUAAGCACCAAAUAAGGUAAGUUUUUAUUAAAAAAAUAAUGUAAUUAUUACUUGUAAAAAGUGACCGUUUAUAUUUCCAAGACAAAAAUUCUAUUUGUAGAUUCUUUAACCAAUGCCCCAGAGCACCGGUUUACAAGACCCUAUUUAUAUAGCACUUAUCUUUUAUUAAUUUUGAUUGACCUCUCCCACUUAAUUUUCGGUUGUAACAACACUAAGUUAGGGAAAUUGAUUAAAGUACCCUUGGGGUGGAUAUGUUUCUUAUUUGACCAAAUCCAUGGACGGCCUUAAUUAAUUCUCCGUAUAGGUCCAAUAACUUAAAUGUGCCAACAAAAGUUGUGAUUGAAUUUCAAACUAGUGUUUCUUUUCCAUCCUCAAACCUUGCGGUGUACCCUAUUUUGGAUUAUAAAAUCCAAAAAAUGUGGAGGAUUUUUAGCAUGUUUUACGCUUUUUAGAUUGUAUAAUCUGAAAUCUAUAGAACCCAUGAAAAACAAUAGGAUGGAGAACGAAAAACUCGUUUAUUUUUUGUCGUAACGAAACACUCAUUUCAAACAUAUAUAGAUGGAAAAGAUUAGUCCAAUUUUAAAAUCACUGAGUCAUUUAGUUGAACUUGCAAUCCCCAUUAGUCUCGCUGUUGAAUUUUCUUUGAAUGACCCUGUCUAAAGAGGAAAAGAGAGUUAGAUUAGAUUAGAAUAAAGUUUAAAUGGGGUGAAAUGAAAAGCUUUGGAUUUAUGUUUGAAAGUCACCCCGAUAAAUUAACCAAUGUGUGGAUUUUGAUUUCAACUAACAUAUGGAACUUGGUACGUUAUAUUAGAGACGGUCAUGAAGUAGGAGGAAAAAUUAUACUUAUUUCGAUUUUUUUUUUGGUUAUUUUGAAUAUUUUAUAAGAGAAAUGUUAUGGUAUGCUAUACUUAUUUUGAAUAUUGUAAGUGAAGGAAUUAAAAUAUUCAAAAUAACCUCUAAAAAUAUUCAAAAUAAGUAUACCAUAGCAUUUCUCCUAUAAGAUGGAAAAAAAAGUGAAGUAGCUAUAAUUUUAUUGGAGUGUGUUAUAAUUGUAUGUUUGAGAGUAUCACCUUAACGUUUCUCUUUUAUAAUGUUGGGUUUUAGUUUCAAUAAAUGCAAAAAAAAUGAAUUGAUUUAACUAGUAAAUAUUGUCACUAUACAAAUAUUUUACAUCGUCAAUCAAUAAAAAUUGUUAAAUCAUUAAUAAAUGUUGAGUGAAGACUUAACUUAGUCCUUCAUAAUUUUUUCUCCGGUCAAUUUAGUUCUUGAUAUAAAAUAAACUCAAACUAGUCUCCGACAGUUUAAUAUUAAAUUUUUCUAUUCACAUCCCAUAUAUUUUUUAUUACAUCCAAAUUUUCUUAAAAGUUUUUUAUAAUACCAAAAUUGUCUUUUUAUAUAAAAAAAAUUAAAAUAUUGAUUUCAUUCAUUGUCACUCUAAAAUUCCACUUUAUUUCACCCACAAAUGAUUAAACAAUCCUAAAUUGAAUCAAAACAUCGUUCAUCCAUACUUGAUUGCAUAUAAGUAAGUGAAUUUCUUCUUCUUUUUCAAUAAUGAUAGUUUCAAUUUUCUUCUUCUUGUUCAACUGCAUUGUACGACGUUUCAAUUUUACAUUGUUGAGGUUAACUUAAAUUCAGUUUAUGUAGGUUAUGUAAACUAAGUUUACAUAACCUACAUAAACUGGAAGUUUAAGUAACCUACUUAAACUGAGAUUACGUAGAAUCAUUGAACAAGGUUGAACCUACUUAAACUCAGUUUACAUAACCCUAAACUAAGAAUCAAAAAUCAGAGAAAAUAUGGAGAAGAACACCAAACAAACCCAUAAAUCGAAUUGGCCCGAUCGAAAAGAAAUUGAAUUCGAAAAUAACUAGAAUCAAAAAUCGCAGACAAGAAAAAGAAAAACAUAUAAUCGCAGAAACAUGAAAAACACAAAUUGAAACCAGAAAAAGCUUAGAAUUAGGGAACCCAUGACAAGAAAAACAUAAUUGAUCGAAGAACACCACUUGCUAACCUCAUUUGCUUCGAACUUUCUUUGAAAUCUUGCAUAGAAGGGAUAAAUCUGCUUGAAGAAGGAAAGAUGGGAGAGGAGUUUUGGGGUGUAACCAAGAAAGAAGGGAGAGGUUUUUUGAAAAUUAAAUUUUAUGGAAGGGUAAUUUUAUCAUUUUGGGGUGUAACCAGGAUUAAACAAGGUGUAAUUAGAAAAACUCUUUAAUAUUAGGGACAAAUUAGUCUCUUUGUCAUAAUGAAUCAAGGACUAAUUUAUGCUUCAUAUAAAAAUGCCAAUGACAAAUAUGAGUUUAUUUUUUUGUCUAACUUAAUUGGCUUGAGAGGAAGUUGUGAUGGAAUAAAUUGUGUAUUCACUGAAAAAUGUUUGAUUUUUUUUUUCUAACUACUUUUAAGGUUGUUUAUUUAAAUGGUUUUGAUUCGAUGAUAGUGUAAAAAAAUUCAUUGACAAUAUAUAAAUUAAACUCACAAUUUAAACUUUAUCUCGACUUUUAAAUAAAGUGUAACCGUACUUUUCCACAAGUCCUAUCUUAACUGAUCAAAAUAUUGAAAUUUUUAGGUUGGAUGUCGUGAUAAGGAUUCGAACUUUGACUCUUCCAUUUAUGUGUGAAUUUCCAACAAAUAUUGACAGUGUUGACUUAAGACCUUGGAGUCGAUUCUCCACAAUGUCAAUUUGAGUGGAUUGAUUUAGCUCCUUACAAAAAAUAUUUUACCCAUAUAAGCUUGUUAAUUUGGUUUUAAAUUUUUCAUCAAAAGGAAGGAAAAGACAUAAACAAGAAUCGGUUUGCUAAUUUUAUAUCCUUGUGAACUUAGCUUAGUUGGUAUGGACAAUACAUAAUAUAUGUAAGGUCGGGGGUUCAAACCCCGCCACCACAAAAAAAAAAUGUGAAAGAUAAUAUAAAAAAUAAUCUAAUGAUUGAGAGAGUAUGAUAGAAAUAUGUUCCUCAUUUAAUCUAAUGGACAUGAUCAACUUUCCCAUGGUGGGAAAAAACUCUCUUUUCCCAAAUUAAAUGGCACCUGAACUUGAAUAUAUAACAAAAAUAAAUUAUUCAUUUGUCUGUUCAAUUCUACUAUGGAGUAUUUUAGGUACAAUUCUACUAUGGAGUAUGCCAUAGAGAAUCUCGAGUGAUGUUCCAUGCACAGUUCUUGAGGCAAUAACAAUGUGCUCUUAGUGUCUAGUCCAUUGGAGUGGAACUAUCAAGCUCAUGUACUUCAAAAUGGAUAUGUACGGUGUCCACUGCGUAUCCUGCACUGAUAUCUGUCCGAUACUUCUUGAUACGUAUCAGGAGAGUAUUCAGAGAUUAAAUUUUAUUUUAUUUUUAAAACAAUUAUACGAUAUUUUUCAAAUACAUCUAGGAUAUGAGUGAAGUGGAAAACCGAUAUGUACGAGUUAGUUGAUGUUUCUAUUAUAUUUGGUAUAUACGUAAUUGCUAAGUAAUGAUGUUUUCUAUUUAGAAUAUAUCAUAUAUGUAAUUGACUAAUUGUCGCUUUCUUUAUUAUCAAUAUUACUUAUAUUUAUAUUUCUAUUGGUGUUGCCGUCUGUUUUGUGUCCCUUUGUUUGUUUGAGAACGAUGUUAUUGUUGAUUGUCGUGUGAAGAUAAUUUCUUUGUUAUGCCUUAUCGUUUUUCUAUGUCUGUUUGGUCUAGGUUUUGCGCCAAUUUUUUUGCUUUUGAGUUUUAGUCCAUAUUUUGUAUUUUGAGUUUUAAUAUGUAGUUUAAAUUUAAUUUUUUAUUGAAGUAUCUCAGCCGUAUCGUAUCUUGAAUUUUAAAAUUUUUCCGUAUCAACGUAUCGAUGCCGUAUUGUAUCUUGUAUCUGGGCUUCAUUGGAGAGGAAUGAUGUGGAUGCACUUUGGAGAACAAUUAUUCCUAGAAAACGCCCAAGAACAAAGGGAAAGCAGAGUUUGUAGGGACCAUAAAAAGACAAGUUAAAAAGGGAAAGCAAAAAUUAUGAAUUGUGGGACCUUAAAAAGUAAUAUAAGAACACAAAUAUGAUUCUUUACCUUGGAGUAGAAAUGAGUGAUAGUUCUUAAAUCUUAUGUGAUAUCCAUGAACCCACAAAAAAUGGUUGAAGAACAAAAUUUUGACUCUAGCAUUGUAGAUGCUCUAAGGUCUUAACUUUUUAGCAAAUUUAAUUCACUUAAACUAUUCUAAUAAAGGAAUCUGCACCCUUCAUUAAUUUAUCUCUGGGAAUUUAGAAAAAGGAAAAAACUUAUGUGUGUUUGUUUGGGUGUUUUUUUUUUGUAUGGUUCUUAAAUAAAAUUACAUAUUUUUUGGAUAUAACAAACUUUAAGAAAACUAUAGAUUUGAUGUAUUUAGUUAAAAACCAUGCGAAAAAAAAGCUAAGAAAAUUCACCAAGUUUUUUCCUUUAGAAAAUACUAAUGAAGUUAAGUGAUAGUGUCCAAUUUCAUUGACAAUAUGAAUGUGUGUUGCCUUAUCUACUGGAAAUCCAAAUUCCUGUGGUUCCAACAUUUCAAUACAAAGUAAUCUAACACCAAAAAUUUCUCAACUUCAUAUGACUCCCCUAAAAAAAUGUCACAGAACCAUAGAACAAGGCAAUGAAAAUGAAGAGAGAGAAAAAAAAAGUAUGAUAUAUUUCAUUCUAUGAGCAAUAGUUGUUUAGCAAACAAUGAAUGGUAACUAAAAACUGUAAACAACCAAAAAAACCUGUCACUGUUACUUACAAUGGCUACUUGAAAAUUAAUCACUAAAAAAUCAAGGAAAUUGGAAUGACCCUCCAAUUUGAUUGUUACCAGAAGGAGGAUCAAUAGCAACCCAUAGAAGUGAUAUAGUGAUUGAUAUUAAUGCUGACCAAACAAACACAAUUGUUGGUGUUCUACCUCUUCUACCCAUAAGCCCUUUUGCAAAUGGAUAUAAAUGAGCCAAUACCCAAAAACUGAAGAAUACGCCUCCGAGUAAACUACUCCAUUGACGAUCAUCGCUGUAUAUAGUCCUACUAACCGCAGUUGCAAUUGCGAUUAAGUUAACCAUCAUGAUUGUGAGUGGUGGUAUCAUCAAGGAGGACCAUUUGAUGAUGUAGAGAUCAGCAUACUCGUCGUUUUCAUCAUCGCCGGAGGAUUUUGAUGUUAAAGUGAAUGAGAUCUCGAUGCCGGCUAUAACUUUGAGUAGACCUUGAAGAACUGCAGCAAAAUGUGCACUUGUGCCUCCUAUCAACCAGAAUUGCUCGUUUCUCCACCAUUCUUCGAGUUCGAUGCCUGACCAUUUGAUCUCAAGAAUAGCAAGAAGAAUAAGUGUCACGGUGAUUCCCAAGAGGUAAAUUAAGAAAGUGACUUGAAGGGAUUGGACUAUGAACUGGCCGGUGAAGAGUGAAAGAGCCGGGAGGAAGCAAUAAACAAUGAGGAAGAAUGAAGUGAAUGGAUAUAUUCCAACAUUAAGAUAAGCAAUCCUUUGCAAAAAUUUCAGUCUAGAGUUAGCCAAGAUUGCAUUGUUCCGUGAAAAGAAUAUUUCGACCGAGCCAGUUGCCCAUCGAAGAACUUGGUGAAGCCGGUCUGUCAAAUUGAUUGGAGCAGUACCACGGAAGGCAUCCCUCUUGGUCACACAAUACACAGACCUCCAUCCUCUAUUGUGCAUUCUAUAACCUGUCACAACAUCCUCGGUUACCGACCCGUAAAUCCAUCCAACUCUAUCUCCCCAUUCGGUCUUAUCUUCAUACCAGCAUGAGAUGACACUGAUUGCCUCAGCGAUAGUAGCAGCAUCAAGAAGAUCUCGAGGAAGUGUUAGAGCACCAGGUUGACGUCCAUUUUUGAUGGAAGGAUGAUCAGCAAGUGGUCUCCCUUGGAACUCUGCCACCCUGAUUGAGUCAACAAAAAGGGUCGAGUUGCCGAAUUUCUUAGGAAUAAGAGCGCUACUCAAUUCUUCUUCAUCAAUGCUACCACCAUUCCUCAAAGAUUGAUCCUCUACGUCAGGGACUGAGGCAACUGUUGAGGAAUUCUUUUUCUUACUGCCAAACCAACCGGUGGCCUCUUCUUGAACUCGGGGAGGAUCAAAGCCAUAGAGUGCAGUUCUUCGAAAUAAGCAUCCAGUACCAACAUAAACAGGACCCUGAAUACCAUCGAGAGCUCUCAUAUUGACAUCAAAGAAGACAGUGUUAUGAUUGGCAUACCGAUCUGAUGGGUCGAUUCCUUCAAACCUUUGAGGAAAUUGAACAUAGCUGAUCUUGUCCCCAUCGCGGUCCAUCAUAUAGCACAUACCUUCCCUGAUUGCCUCAGAGUUAUAUAUGUAAUGGUCACAGUCAAGAUUAAGUAUGAAAGGACCAUUAGACAUUACGGCUGAAGCUCGAACCAAGGCAUUCAUGGCCCCCGCUUUCUUAUUGUGAUCAUAGCCAGGUCUUUUUUCACGAGAAACAUAGACUAGCAUAGGAAGACGAAUAUCAACUUCGGUUAAAUUCAUGCCAUUUGAAUCUGAUUCUGGGCCGGUUAGUGGCUCGUCACUUGGAGGUUUCAACAUCACCUGCAUUUGAAAGAGGUUGCGUUAUUAGCAUGUUUGAUGGUUAUAUCAAAAAACGAUAAAAUUACAAUUUGAUGUGUCACAACAAGUAUAAUAUGAACAUCAUAAACUAAUUUCCUGUAUGAGUUUUGACCACUGAGAACCUGAAUCUUAGCAUGAAAACACUGCCGUAAAUACUAAAAAUUAUAAUAACAAUAUGUAAACACUUUUAUAAUGAAGAUUAAGACAGAAUUAGUAAUAUCAGUGGUACUAACUGAAUGUAUGAUCCAGAGGAAAAGGAGCUGGUAUCAGAUUCCCUAGGAUGUUCAUGCAUCAUGCCUCUAUCUUUUGGAGAUUGUCCUACUGUAUAAAAGAAUUAUCUACUGCUAUUUUGAAUAAUGCAAUCUUACUAUCUUUACUAAGCUUAUAUAUUACCAAUGAUAGACUAUAAAUUUUGACAUGCAAGUUAAUGUGAUCCAAAAUUUAAAAUGUAUGUGUGGUUGAAGGCAAAUGAAAGAAAAACUAUGCGUUUCGACUCAGGAUCUAAAUGGCGACCUGUGACUUCUCUGCAUGAAGUCUGACAUUCUUACUAAUAGAGUUGUUGUCAUUUUAAUGUCAAUAAUACUUUUCUAAUAGUAAAAUAAUAGCCUCGUUUCAUCCUCUAUCAAAGAAUCAAAUAACUAAAUAACUGAUAAGUUUACCCUCUAUCAUAAAAACCGACAAUUACCUGUAUGAUACUGGAAUGAUCACCCCGAGAAUGCUCUGGUGCAGGAGUUGUCCAAGUCCCAGGCCAGUGAGUACCAUCGGUCAUACAUGUAGCUUUAGAAAUUUUCAAAUUCUCCAUCGGUUCAUCAUUUGCAGCCUCUCUCCAUAGCCUCAUAGCUUUGAUCUCCUCUCUAACAUUAUAAGCAUCAGCGCGCCUCCGGAUUGAAUCAGGAAGGCCAUUAAUCCGAACCUUGAAUUCCUCAUACUCGCGCUUCACCUUCCUGCGGUCCCUAACAAAGUCCGAACGUACUUUGUUCCUGUAGGGAUCUCUCUUCAAACUAAAGUAAGAUUCCGGGUUCCUUGGUUCAAUGUCGUGCUUCCGACAAAAAGGAACCCACAACUCCGCAAAACUUGCUGCCUCGGCCAUGGCCUCAAAAGUUAGAAGUGAACCGCCGUCGUCAGAGACAUAACAUGCGAGUUUAUCAACAGGGUAAUCAACUGCUAGAAUUGAAAGAAUGGUAUUUGCGGUAACAAGGGGUGGCUCUUUUUCUGGAUCGGCAGUUGACACAAACAUAUCAAUUCCCGGGAGAUCAGAUUUCCCUGUUGGAUUUGCUGGACUAGGAGUUUCGAACUUCUCUUUCAAAACGUCGAGAUCAGCAACACGAUUUAUCGGAAAGAGCUUAGGGAGCUGGUCAAGAAGCCAGGAGAAUGCAAACCAGAUUUCACAAACUACGGACAUGCCCCACAGCCACAUUGCAUCGUCAUUCGGGUUUACUACCCUCCAGUGAAGGAAGAGAACCAGAAUCACCAUCCGAGCUAAUAUUAUGAGCCUGAAAGAUAAAACGACAAAAUGAUAACUAACUUUAGAUUCAUUAUUAAGUUUUUAAAUCAAUUUCCUGUAAAAAAAAUAAAAUAAAAUUGUCCCUUUGUUCAUAAAAAGUUGUUCUUUGACAGACUUACUUACUAACACCUCAAAAUAUAAAACCAAAUUCAAAUUGAAUAUCAGAUGUUAGAGUCUCCGACUAGAUUAAAAACAUCAUCAUAUAAAAAUAUUUCAUAGACACAUCAAUAAGAAAAUGGGAUGCAAAAAAAUUUGUCCGCACAACCAGGGGUGAUAAAAGAAGCUAAGUGGAAAAAGUAAUCAUACCGAUAAGGACUCAGAAUUGCAGCACGAAUAUUCAGUUUCCGGGUCAACGGCCUCCACGGCUUUUCUUUGAAAGCAUUAGGGUCACCCCCCAUCCAAUCAGAACCAGAACUAGAACUAGCACCAUUCACCGGAUCUUUAGGCCACAUAGCGUUUCCAUAUCCAUAAGUCCCUUUAGUCUCAGACAACCAUUGAGCAUGAUCAAAUUCAUUAGUUUGGCUCCUCAUCAAAUUCCCCGAUUUCAUCAUCGACAACCUCCUCUCCAUCUUCGACGCACCAGGUGGCAAAGGUAGUGAUUGUCGAUUAACCGCAGCAGCAGCCUCUUCCAUUGCUUGCUCUUUGUAAGCCUCGUUACAUCCAGGGCAAACCCCUUCACCAUUCCUCAAAGUAUCCUUAUAACAAUUCCUACAAAUCUUGAAAUCACACUCACAAGGAAGUAUUUCCAAACCUCUUUCAUCAGUCAUGACCUUUCCAUCACACCCCGACAUCUCACACGCCGACCCUUUAGUCCCGGCCAUCUGAGGAUGACUUGAUUCGGACUCAAUCACCUUAUCCUUGAACUGAGCUCUAGUAGCCUGAUUAAAACCGCCUGUAAACAUAGAACUCGACGCAUAUUGAUCCUCCACUCUCCUAGAGGUUGAUCUCUCAAGAGUAAUAUCCUUCGCCGACAUAGGUUGGUUAUCAGGUGUUAUAGGAACUUGCACUGUGUAUGUAGCAAGACUCUCAGUUUCUUGAUCCAUAUCAUUGCUCAAUUGAGAAAUCCUCACCAAAGAACCCCCUUUUUUCAAAUAUGGUCUAGAACCCAUGAUGAUGAUUAUUGAUGAAUUAGAUUACAAAACCUGUAAUUUCAUCAUCAAAAACACACAACACACACUACUUAAUCAGCAAUAGAAUUUGUAUAUAUAUAAUAAAAGGAUAAAGGCUUAAUCUUUAAGAAUUGUUCAACAACAACUAAAUAAAAAAGACAGCAAAUUAUUUCAAAGACACGGUAUAAGAAAAAAAAACCAAAUCAAACAUAAGUGUAUGUCAAGUAGUGCAAUGAUAAAGAAUGUUUGAUUAAAAUUUCUUACCUAAUCAAAGACAACCGAGCAAAUGGAUUGAAGAUUGUCCUAAUGGCAAAUCAAACGCGUGUCUGACACUGUCAACUGAAAACAAGACUGAGUCCAAAGUACAGAUCAAGAUUUUUUCAAAAACUAAUAAACAAAAACCAAACUUUGUUUAAUAGUUCCAAUUCCAACAACAAACACUAACACAGAACAGAACAGAACAGAACAGAACUACAAAUUCUCAUGCAUUCAUGAUACUAAACAAAAAAUAAGGCCGGCCCAGAAACGUUAAACAGUGUUUAAGGUUCAAAGUUUCAAUCUUGUAUAUAUGAAUGUUGUUUGGUUUGUUUGGUUUUUUGAACAAAAUUGAUACCACCUUGGGAAAAAAAAUCAGGGGAAUGGCACAACAAUGUAGAAAGUGUGGUGAUGAUAAAAGUAGGAGAAAAUGAAGAAAGAGGAAAGUUUGGUAGAGUGUAAAAUAGAGUAACGUUUUUAUGCAAGAUUUUGUUCUUUUUUGAAGAGGAUUAUUCGGAAAGUACGAAGUGUGUUUUGAAACAAAAUGGAUUGUGUUUUGACGACGCGGCGAGCGAUGUUUUUGGGGUUGGCAACUUUACAUGUUCAUUCUCCAGCUGGCAAUGGCAUGGCUCCUUUCAUUUUUCUUUUUCUUAAAAGGUUUUUAUUACAUAUGAUUUUAUUUUUUAUUUUAUUUUUUUGAAAAAUAAAAUAUGGUUGAAACUUAAAAUAUCACACUUUCUUUAUGUAUCUUUGACUGAAUUAAUUUUAAUUCUGAUUCUGUUAUAAAUUAAAAAAAUUACUGGUUGUGACUGUAAAUGGAAAAUUUUGAUUGGGUAUUUAUGAAGGGAAGCAAUUAAGAAUCAAAAUUCUUUAUAAAAAUUUUUUGGGGAAUUCUUUAAAUUUUCUGUUUUCUUUUACAAAAUUAAAUUUAAAUUUGUUGUUAUAUACAAAAGUUUAGAAUAAUUAUAUAUAUAUAUAUAUAUAUAUAUAUAUAUAUAAUAUACAUAAAAGAAUUAUAUGUUUUCUUUAUCUUUCAAUUAUACCUUUUAUUUAAACUAUUAAUUACAACUUUAUAUUUUGUAUAAUAUUAUUUAAAUAUUUAAUUAAAAAAUCAAUUAAACCUCAUUAUAAUUUUAAAAAAAUUAUUAUAGUAGAAACAAUAUAAGUUAAAUCUUUAUUUGAUUGUCCUCGUGAACUUAGCUCAGUUGAUAUAGACAAAAUCUAAUAUAUGCAAGAUCAGGGUUCGAAUCCCGACAACUACCAAAAAAAAAAUAUUUGAUUUCCAAAAUAUUUAUAAUCAAAUACAUAAAAUAAGUAUACACUUUUUUUGUUGACAAAAGAAAAAAAGUAUGCACUUAUAUGCAGUGAACUUACGCAUCUUAAUGCUAGUAAAAUAGAAAGUAGAUAUGCAGCUUCAUUUUUAUUAAAGUAAAAUAAGCUUCAUUCAAAAUUCACAUUUUGAGUGGAAAUUAUCAUUAGUUGAGAUAUUUCUCAUUCACGUUUUCAGAUCGACACUAAGAGAGUUAAACACACACUAAUAAUACACAUUAAAUUCUUCUUUCUAAAAAAAUACACCUUAAAUUCUUAGAAGUCAAUGUAACAAAAACAAACUAAAAUUUUAAUGGUUUUUGUUAACGAGUGCCUUCGAGGCACUUUUAAGGAUUCCAAAUUUAAAAAAUAUUGUUUAAAAAGUCAAAUAUUACAAAUUUCAAUGCUUUAAUUGCACAUAUUUUCAUAAAAAUUUACUAUUAAUUGUCCUUAAAGAGUGUCUGGAGGCACCCGUUAACAUUUCCCAAAUUUUAAUACUAACAACUAAACUAAUUUUACACACAUACGAUUGAUGAUCAAGAAUAAUGCAUGAUUUAUCAUUUUCAAUCGCAUCCGUCUACAAAAUGGAAUUGAUUGUGGUCAAUGAGAUGAUCAAUUCAAACAGAUGUUGACAACUCGUUUUUCAAGCUAAAAGGGUGUUGAUUUUGGUGAUAACCUUUAUAAGCCUCAUACUAAAAAAAAACAUCAAGGUUGUCACAAUGGAUUUCAAGGGGGGCUUGGAAGUCCAGUUGACACUUGUGGUUGCAACCAUUUGAGUCAAAUUUAGAGGCGGUAGAUGACGUGGAGACAAACAAUCGGGGAAUUAUUUACUACGACACAACAUUGCUGAGAUAAAACACUAUUAAAAUGAGUUAUACAUGGAGUAACAAAAUGAUUGAUGUAGUCGAAGUAUGUUAGAUUUACAACUAAAAUGAAUAUUUAGUUUGUACGACCUAACUUAACUGGUAUUGUCGGCAAUGUUAGACUCAAUAUCUUCACUUGAGUUCGAACCUAAGACUUUUCAAAUGUGUGUGAGUUCAGUGGUAAAAAGAUAUUUAUAAAUGCACUACUUAGUGAGAAGUCUCUGAUUUUUUUGGUCAAGAGAGAAUUCUUUGCUUUGAUCAUUAUAUAAUAAAAAUAAUUUUAAUAUUUAUACCUAUAAUUUUAAUCUAAAUCAAAAUAAUUUCAAUUAAAAACAAAAUUUAAUAAUAAUAAUGAAAUUAACAUAUACAAAAGAAAUAUAUUCCAAAAUCUAUAUAACAAGAAUCUAAAUUUAAUUAUAGAGUAGAAUAAUUAUUGAUCAGACUUUCGUACCUAUUAAUCGAACUUCAAAUUACCACUAUUUCUUUCUCCAAAAACCGGAUGGUACUAUAACACUUUUUUUAUUUUUUUUCUAAUGAGUCAAAUGUAAAAACUUUUUUAUUGAAAUUUGUGAAUUUAAUUUAAUUUUUAACUUUUAAUUAAUUGAAUGCACAAAUUUUAAAAAAUAUUUUUAAUUUUAAAUUGCUUAACAUGUGCGGCACAAAUUAACAUGACAGAUCUUUAAUAACACUUUUUUUUUUUUUUAAGGAUAAUAACAACACAUUUUUAUAGAAGUGUGUUCUUCUAUAGAUUACAUUUUGAAUCUAUGGCACUCUCCAUUGCAUCAUUUACACGUCCACAUAGACAAUAUCACAACACAGAAGAUAAAGGAAGGGAAUGUCCGCGGCAUGAACAAUAUUCCCGCAUGUCACAUGAAAGUCACGAAGUGUGUGAAUCUGAAUCCAACGUUAGGGUUCGUGGGCCAGCAUUACGUGGGUCCCAUCUAUACGUAUCCGCGUGGGCCCACCAUCUGCUUGCUUCUGAAAUGAAUGAACCGUGAAAUGUUGCAGUAGCCUCGCCGCAAUUAUUGCUGGAAAGUCAAAAAAAAAACUCACCAAACAACACUUCUCAACCCUCACACUGCUGUCGUUUUCCUAAAUAAUCCGAAAGGAACAAACUUUGUUGCAAUCUUGCAAUCACCUUAAGAAUUGUUUGAUUUGAUUAGUAGCAAUCUAUAAAUCACGGAUAUGGAUAUCGGCUAUGAUACAGACAUGAUAUAAUUAAUAAUUUAAAGAUAAAAAAAUCACAUAAUUCAGUACAAUUACAAGUGUCGGUGUCGUGUUGGUGAAUACGACAUGUGUCCAACAUUAGGACAUAUCUAAUUCGAGUAGUAUCCGUGUUUGCAGUAAUUAGUUUUGUAUAGAAUUUAUGUAUUUGGGGUGAUAAGAUUAAGAGUAAAAAUAUGUUGUUGUCAACUAGAACUAUAGUAGGGUAGAUUCCAUAAAAUAAAAUAAAAUGAAGUGUAGAUGAAUGUUGCCACAUAAUAUAUUUGUCAAUAACUGAUUACUUUACUCCAUAGAUUUCGUUUUUGAUUUAAGUAUAUGAUGUAUCAUUGUUGUCCAUGUGCAUAUCUGUUUCUUUGUUUGCAUAAUGAAACCAAUGACUAAACAAAACCAGGGACAAAUGGACAACGAAACAUUCCAAUUACUACUUUUAUUACAUUGAUUGAUUGAUGAUUGCUUGAAUAAAUGUAGUGGAAUCGCACCAUACCCUACCCACCAUGAUUUGUAUGUAUGGGAGACCUAAACCCCGUUUAAAUGGGUUACCACUUAGCAUCCUUCAAUUUCUUAAGCGUUCAACUUUCAUUUUAUUUUUAGUUUCUAACUAAAAAAAUAGAAAUGAUGAUAACCCUAAAAAGAUUAGAAGUAAAGAAAAUUUCUUAAACACUAAAAAAAGUUUAAAAAGGAUAAAAACUUUAAUAUCAUAGUCUACUCAUCCACGUCGUCUAUCAAAUCAUCUACACAUCAAACAAUUCAAUAAUGUUGCAUAUGAGGAGUAUAUUAGGAGAAACUCAAUUUCCACAAAAUAAAAUAAAAAAUUUGAGUCAAAUGUUUUUUAAUAAACAAUGGCAUUGUUCACUAACCUGGAUUUGAUACGGUUAACAAAUCGAGGGGUCACACAUCAAUAGUUAUUUGAUUAAGAUCAAACAAUUAAGAUUUGAACUCGAUAUAUUUAGAAUUAUACGAUAAAAAUCUACAUUUGUAUCUUUGAAUUAUCAAAAUGAGGUCUGACAAGCGUCAAUGUUUCGACUGCAUGACUACAAGAAAUCAUGACCGUGGAAAUUCAAUCUUCACUGUUCAUCUUAUAAAUAAUUGGAAAUGGAUUGUCUAACUUUGAGUUAAUUUUGGUAACUUUAUGCAUAAAAACUAGAGAGUGUGAUAGAUUUGGAGAGAAAAUCGAGAGAAAAGAUGUGAGAGAAAAUAAAAGAUGAGAAAGGUAUAGAAUCCUAACCCACAUAAUUGUAUCAAGAAUGAGUUAGAUUCGGAUUGCAUGCGGUCAGUAAGAUCCUGAGCGUAUAAUCUCAAUUGGACGAUUCAAAUUUUAAAAUAAAAAGUUUAUAUUAAAAUCUAAGUCGUCAGAUUUAUCUGAUGGUUAUGAUUUGUUGACUGCAGCUUGACUGCACGCCAAGAGACUAAAUUGAAUCCAUUUACGAAUGAGUUUGAUUGGGUGGGGUUUAGUAUGGGAAAGGAGAGUUGUUUCCUACCAUGAGAAAGUUUUUUUGAAUCAUUAAAUUAAAGAGGAGUAUUAAUUUUAUCAUAGACUGCUUACACCAUAUUUUUUUUCCUCCUCUUUUACACUUUUUUUUUUCUUUCUGAGAUCUGCAAUUUUUUCUUUCCUUGAUCUGGAAUUUUUUUUAACGAGCACCCCAUAAUAUCCCUUUGUCUAAAUAUGAGAUCAGCCCCUCCAUAAACAACACUACAAACUUCUUGUCCUUCCUCAACAACUACAUGAUUUUCUCCAAAUUAAUGUUCUCUUUUAAAUCAUAACCCUUACUUCUAACCUUAUUAAUUGCCCAUGUCUCUUCUUCUUGUUUUUUCAGCUCAACUUACGAUCACUGUUUUUUCAAUCAUAUCCAUAAAGAGUUGUCUACUUUAAUUUAAUUCAUUGUUGAUUUAAUUUUUGGUGCUCAAGCCUCGCCCAUGACAAUUAACCAAGCGUUUAUUCUGCUCAAAAACUUCAUCCAGUUAAACAAUUAUUGAUAAAUAAAAAGCAAGAUUAGAGAAAUUAGAUUUUGGACUUUAUAAAAAAUUUCAUUUAUUUAAUUCAAGAAAUAAGGCAGGUGUAGCAAUAUGAAGAAGAACAGACGAGGGAAGGAGAAGAUGGUGGGACUAUGGAGGAAAGAGGAUGGUGGUGGAAGAAAGUGUCUAAAAUAAAUCUUAUGUGGAAAGACUACAAUAAAAAUGUGUUCUACAUUUAAUCUAAUGGUUAAAAAAAAAUUUUCCACGAUAGGAAACAACUUUCCUUUCCCAUGCUAAACCUCACCGUUUGAUUGGGUGAAUAUAUAACAGCCUAAUAACUUAACCACCAGUCCAUCAUCCAAUCCACUUAUGUCAAAAGUCAAAACCAAUUCUAUUUAUAGAUAAUUUGUGUUGUAUUGUCAAUUUGCUAUGCCCAUUGUAUGUUUUAGUACUUAGGAGAAAAAGUCAAUUAGUCUUUUGAGUUUCGGUACUCGUCCUUUAUGAGCUGGAACGAAAUGUUGAACAGAAUAAGCAUGUUGUUUCAUUUCUGUUUUUAUUGAUACAGCCUCCUUAUCAUUCAAUUUGCUCUAACUGUGGUGUGAAAUCGUGGCGUGUAGGCAAUGUUGAACAUUAUUCAUUUCACAUACGUAGCAAAGGAAAAAAAACAAGUAAUUCAUUUUUUAUAUAACUUAAUACUACUCCAUUUUUUUUUUUUAAAUGGAGAGAUCCUUACUUCUCUUAGAUAUAAACAUAUAUAUAAUGAUGUUCUCACAUAUGUUAAAAAAAACUAACCACUCAAAUUCUUCGUCAUGUAGUUUAACUGCGAGAAUCUCAUACAUUAAUUGUGGAUUUUAAUAUGCACUUCAACAUAUCAAAUGUUCAGUUCUUUUUUUUUAAUUUAAUUAACCCUCCAAUUUUCGUGAAGGAAGUCUUGAUAAUUCGGAGCUCGUCUUUUAGAUAAUAUAGUCUGACUAAGAAUUGUUCCACCUAAAAAUUGAAUUUAAGUUUUUCGAACGAUUCGUCCUUUGAUCGAGUUUAUUAACCACUUGAGCUGGUUUGGUUAUUUCUCUUCUGUUAUUGUUAAACCGUGAAUGUACUUAGCAAAUUUAAUGUUCAUAGAUUUUUCGGAAAUACCAUUUUUUAUAUUAAUCUCUAUCUCAAAUUAUACUAGUAUGUCACUAUGUAGGAUAUAUAUUUAGGGACACAACAUUUUUCAAAUGGGACAUAUAUUAGGAGCAAAAGGGCAUUGUUUUAUUACAAUUAGAAAAGAGAAAUGAUAUUUGUACAACCAUUUUUGUACAACUUUCUCUCUCAUGCUCACAUUAUCUUCUUAUUCUCUCUCUUCUUUUUUCUCUCUAUUGGUUUUAACCAAUGAGAAGAGAGGACAACAAGAUUGUCACAAAAGUUGUACCAAAAGAGUUGUUCAAAUAUUAUUACUCAUUAGAAAAAUGGUGUACAUGUAAAUUAACUAGCAAAAAUCAGUUAUCGAUAAUUAAACUGUCUUUGAAGUAUUUUCUUCACUUUAGGGUGGUUGAGAGUAAAUCUAGAGUGUCUAAAGAGCAAUUUUCCAGUCCCUGUACAAAAAUUCUGUCAGCAUUUUUAGUCCCUGAAUAUGAUAAAGGAAAAAGUUAAAAAGACUAAAAAAUGUAAUUUUUUUUAAGGAUUAAAACUGAAAUUUUGGAUAUUUAUAGGGAUCAUUUAUCAAAUUAACCCAUUUAAUUAUUGUGCGUGGUUACUUUGAAACUUUUUCGCACAAAAUUUCAUACCAUUCAUGUCAGUCAAAUAUAAUUGAAUGUACUAUCGGGGUUGGUCUAGCAGAAUAGGCUAGACUCUUGAAACGUAGGAAAUCAAUAUUCAAAUUCUCACUAAGAGAGAUGUUCAUAAUUAAUAUUUGAUACUACCUUUAAUUCAUUUGAUGUUAACAUAUUACAUGUUUUGUGAAAGAAUAUUUUAUAAGAUUUUAAUCAUGUCUACAAAAAGUCAUUCAAAAAUUUAAAAUUUUAAUGAUAAUUAUAUAAAUUUAAGCUUAAUAGAGACUAAAACUUCAUGCUGAAAAAUUCUAUAUGGACUAAAACUUGCAACUUUUUUCGGGUGCAACGUUUUUUAUGCAUUCUAAAAGCAAAAUUUGAUAUAUUUGUAGGGGAAAAAACUUAUUCAACCUAUAAAGAAAUUAAUUGAACGCUUUGAUAAUAAUAAUUAAUAUCCUCUUAAAAAAAUUAAUAUGAAAGAUAAAGUAAGCUAAAAUCAUUUUGGAAUCACAAUCAAACUAUAAUAAUACUGGGAAUGGGUGUCUAACAAUGAAAAAUAACAACACAACAUCAUCUAUGUAUGGAAGAAAUAGCAGACAAUUCUCAUUUACACCUCCCCGGAAAUUGGUAUGGUAUUUGGAGGUUUAAGGUGCCUCCGAAAGUGAAGAAUCUGAUUUGGAUAGUGUGUCGGGGGUGCUUACCAACGCGAGCAAGAUUGCUGGAUAGAGAGGUAAAUUGCUCACAAGUACAAGUUGAGCAGUUUGUAACGAUUUUGUGGAGCUUAUGGAAAAGCCGCAACAUACUCGUAUGGCAAAAUGGUACCGAAACAUGUCAAUCUAUUCUUGAGCGCGGGAGGCAGCUGUUGAUUGUUUGGAAAACAGUGAACAGUAGCAUGCAACAGAGUGGGGUUGUUGGGAAUGGAGUUGGUACACAUAUACCUGAACAUAUGUUAGCUGUCAGAGAGGGUACCAUGCAGCCAGUACAGCCCCCAGCGAAAAAAACCAGCGUUAGGAAGGCUGAAGUCUAAUGUAGAUGCGUAGUUUUCGGAUGCAUUAAUUGUGUUGGUUAUGGCAUGUGUAUUCGGGAUGAUACCUGGAACUUUGUUAUGGCUAAAAUGAUGUGGUCGAAUCCGGUGUGCUCGUCGGAUAUUGGCUAUUCAUUGGGUGCGCAAUCUACAACUUACAAAUGUGGACUUUGAAUUAGAUGCAAAGAAGGUUGUAGAUUAUUAUAAUAGAGGAAGCAAUGACAUCUCCGAGUUUGGAGCAAUUAUCAAUGAGUGUAGGAGGAAACAGAGAGCUUUUGAGGAAAAAGAGAGACCAUACAACAAUCACCUAAAGUCCUUAUCUUGAUGGGCUUGGUCCGGCCUUGUAUAGAAAAGCACAUGAGUUUAGCCUAAUGGCCAAAUAUAUGAAGGUUAAACUUUGCAAAGUAGUGUUGUUUAUAACCUUGUAGAGCAACCUAGAAAUCAAGGAGAAAAUAAUUUAUUGAUGCUAAGAGCUACUAACAUGUUCUGUUGUUUAUGAGAAAAGAGAAUAACAGAACCUUAAUACAUUUCCAGGCAUGCUGAAAAACAAGGACUUGGUUGAGUGUUGAGAUAUUUUCCUCAUUAGGAUCAAUGGUUUACACAUUUUGUGCAACAUAAUAGAGAAACAUGAAGAAAAAGGAGAAUGGCAAAAUCUUCAAAAGGCUACAGAAUGGAAGAUACAAACAAUUCAACUACUUUGAAAGUUAAUUUACACACCAAUGUUUAUGAUUAUGAGUAAAAAAAUCCAAUAGAACUUCAGAAACUCUAAAUAACCCAAAAAUAUAUAGAAGAUAUAUGAUUCCAUCACCUAUAUCACCCCCCCUACAAUUGCCAUCCACUACUUCCUCCUCUCUGUAACACCAUUUCACAAUAUUAAAUGGUGUUUUAGCAAAGACUUUCCAUGCAUCUAUACAUUCCAUGUUAUAACCAUUAGCCUCUUUGUUUUCCAUUUCUUCCACUGUGUUUUCCCAUAAAACAUUGCCAACAGAAACAACUCAUGCAACAACUUGGUCUUGAACAUUUAGGGUAGCAACAAGGCAAUGAACAUUUUGGACAACAACAACCAGGCAUUGAGCAUUUUGUGCAGCAUGUUGAUCCGAAACAAUCUGUGAACUUCGGUAAGCGGCAACACUUGAUGCAGCUAGGUUUCCAGCAACAAUCAGGACAAUUGAUAGACAGGGAAAAAUUUAUGCAGCUGCAGCAGCUAGAGCAUUUAGGUAACUUGCAUUUGCAGCUGCAACAACACUUCAUACUAGGGCAUGUACAUGUGGAGCAACAUUUCGACUUUGAUUUUGAUUCCAGACUUUGUCGGAUCUUUUUGAGGCGCUUUUCAGUUGUCAUCUUCUCCAUUUCUUGGAUGAAUUUGCAUAGAUGGCGUAUGUAAUCAGGGUAAAGCUCUAAGUUGCAGUGACCGCCUCCUUUGAUCCAUAAGGGUUCAUAUGACUCCCUUGCCAUUUUCCAUAGUCGGUUGCCAUGUAACCAAUUGACCACAUCAUCUUCUGUACCCUGCAAAAUAAUUUAGCAUGUCCAUCAUAACAUUUUUGUUCUCGUUAAAUUUUCAGUUUUGAUCUAUUUUUCUGUUUUAAACAUGCUACAAUUUUAGGUGCACAAUAUGUAUUUUAUGCAGAUGAUAUGAUUUAAUUGCAGAGUUGAAUGAAGAAACAAAAUUUCCUCAAUGUAUUUAUCAUAUAAACUGGUGAGGUGACAAAAAAAAAUGUCAACUAUAGGAUGCAAUUAAAGUGGAUGAAAUGAAGUAAUGUUCACAUGUGAUCUGCAAUAGAAAGUACACCUUCCAGACCCAUUUGAAAGCAAUUUGCACACUUAAUUAAGGAUGGUAGUCACACUAAAAAAUUAAAGUGCAUUGAAUUUUCUUAAUUUAAUAAAACAAAGGAUAUAAAUUUACUACAGCAGGACCAGCAAUAGUCACUCUAAAACUAUUCCAACACUCACUCUCUUAAUGUGUAAAAUACAUGUGGAACCCAACACUAUAUGUGGGGUCUAGUUCCAAAAUGGUGAGAUCCAUGUGCAUUUUAUCCAAUAAAAUAGUAAGAAUGGGAAAGAGAGGGUUAGAGUGAGUAUUGCUAGCACUUCUCACAUUUACUAACCUACCUCUAAUUAUGAUGGUGAUAUCUUCAAAACAUUAAUGGAUCCGUUUAAGGUAUUUUUGGAAUUACAACAUUAGAUGUGGAUAUAUUAGUUGACAUUCGGUUAUAUUCGAGUCCAGCAAACUCAAGCUAUUUUUUGCUUAUAAUUGAGUCUAGACAAGUAUCACACAAGCUUAAAACAACAUUUUACUGCACAAACACCGGAUCGACAAUGUUGUACAGAAGUAAAUGUACGCAAGCAGAAAGGAGAGUUAAUCAAAUGGAGGAAAAUACAUAUGUUAGAGGUGGUAGACCUUAAAAUCUACAGGCCAUCGACCAAUAGAGAUUUAGAGGUAAAUAAUCUAUCUAUAAAUCUAACACCAUUGGAUUUUAUGGCAUUGGUUGAUCUAUGUAGCCAACAUCACUUAAUGGAAAAUUGUUUCAUUUUUAUUGUUGUGCGCGACUAGAGAAAGAACACAAGGCCUAGCUACCAUGAAAUUCAAACAGGAUGGUGGAAAGUGUGCUUUAUCCAUGUAUAGUAUAAACUCCAAAACUAGAGAAUCAAUCAUUAUGCACAAUAAUUGCUAUGUCUACUACUUGCGUCAAAAGAAAUAAAUACGAAGAGGAAAAGAAGUAUGAUUGCAUUGCAUCAUUUACUUACAUGUAUUACAAGGACAGGACACUUGACCUUCUUUAUUUUGUUGAUGUUCUGCAUGGUUGGAAAAGGGAAAAAACAAUUAGAUCAUAUGAGAUGAUGGAACAAAAUAUUAUACUCAUUUUAUAUCUUCUAAGUAUACAAAACUAGACAUCUUAAUCCGAAACUCUUAUAAUUUAAGUUGCUGGCCAUUAAUAAAUGAAAGACACAUUUUUCUUUUUAUCUAAAGAUUCUGAACCAAAAUAUAUAAUUUACACAUUUGCAUUUUAUAGGUUAACAGCACGAAAUUCAAUCGAAAUUAUUUUCAAUGAGCUGUAAAUUAAGUUUUAGUUAAUUUAAAAUCCAAAUAACGGCAUCUUAAAAAAUGAGUCUUCAUCAACGUCACGAAAAAAUUCUAUGAAGAGGUCAAGUAUAAUUUUAUUAAAUAGUUUGAUUCUCCUAUUACCUUAUAAAUGUCAAAGCAAAAAGAGAACUUCACAUGACAGAGAACUCGAAGACCAGAAAGAAUGCCGCUGUGUAGAACCACGCCUCUCAGCCUCGGCAACUUAGCUGCCAAAUGCAAUGUUGGUCCACUUCCAACUGAUUGCCCGUAUAAGAUUACGUCUUCCUGGCCAACUCCAUAUUUGGUUUCAAGGCAUUCAUAUAUCGCCUCUAUGUCAGCAUAUGUGCUGGAUUCACUAGGCUGCAUAAUUUGAAAGUAUUAGCAUUACUAUCUAUUUGUUAAUGAAUUUAAUUUCAACAAAACAGAAUUGUGCUUUGUGUGUAUGUGUGUGCGCGUGCAAUCCAUGGUUGCAACAGAACUAACUAUAGUUGUAUUUGCCAAAAAAUAGCCUACCUUGCCAGUAGAGGCACCAUAUCCAGAAUAGUCAUACCUGUGGGGGGGAAAAACGUUAAAAAACACAUCAACUUUUCAGCUUUAGUCUAGAAAUGCUGGCAAUUCAAAUGAUUGAAAAACAAAAAAAUUAUUUUUUUCAAAGACUAUUUAUAUUAAUUAAUCACAUUGAUGUUCAAAAUUGAUUCAAUCAAGUCCUUAUUAUGUGCUUAAUUGAAUCAAAUUUAUAGACUGUCAAGAGUCAAUUAGAUUGAUGUAAAUCAAACCAUUUAUGGACCAAUGUACAUAUUCACUUUUUAAGUAAAAGCUCAAGAUCUAAUAACCAAUAGCAUAUUCCAAUGAAACUUCUAAAGCAAAUGUGCACUAUAAAUUUAUAGAAAAGCUAAAUAGGGAACUUCAAAUCAAUAAUAAUGGCAAAAUAUACUAUUAUAUGAUAGAGAGAUAAUGAAAGAUUACAAUAAUUCAAAGAUGCAAAAUGAGAAAAUGUUUAGCGUGUGUAUGGUUUCGCUGAGACAAAUUAAUUUCCAAUGAAUUGAUUCUGUAAAUUUAUUAUGCCUAAUAGUAAAUCGAAUGUAAGCGGCUUAUGUUUUGAUACAUUCAUGUAAAAGUGGGUUGAAAAAUAAAUUUGAGGCUAAAAAGUUAUAAAUCAUUUGUAGAAACAAAAGCUGCAAAUUCUAGCUUCACGUUAGAGUCAAUUCCGUAAGGCAAAGACAAUUCUACUCGAGAACAUCCAAACAUGUCAAAAUCAAUUAUACUUACAUCUCCAUAAUCAAUUUUGCCUCCUCCAAAAACUGGAACCAAACAUACAUUUAUCAUUUUCUUUAAUUCUAAUUCUUUAAAAGGAAAAUAAUGUUGGUAGUAGGGAUAAGAAAAUUAAAAACUUUCAAAGAAAACCAAGGGCUCCAUCCCCAUAAAAACACCAAAAAACUCUAUGCUAUGUCCACAUCCAUGUAGGGAUAAAAACUGGAAAACUUUAAGCUGAUAAGAAAGAAAUUAAGAAAGUAAAACAAAGGACAAAGAAAGUUCAGAAAAAAUUGCUACAAACUACCAAGAAGAAAAAGUUAGGCCAAUAGAAUCUAAACAAAGGUAAAAUCUUUAUCAAUGUUUCAGAAUCCAUAAAUACAUGCUGCUUUUAUUUUCCCUUUCCUUUUCCUUUUCACUUUAACUUUUUCAUUUUUUGUUUGUUUGUUUAGGGAAGACACUCUCUGGUGCCAAAAGCCUUAACUUCAUCUACUUUCUACUUGUUAUUAUUAUUGCAUUGAAAAGAAACAGUAAAGAAAAGACAUUUACAUUGUCAUUGUCAUUUCUUGGAUGUUUGGUAUCACCAUGGUUACUCGAAAACACGGUGGCCCAAUGUGAUUUUGCAAAAUCAAUGCGAGUCACCGUGAUUUCGACAAAUUAACCUGAUACCAAACAUGCACAUCACAUUACACACAUGUUCACAUUGACCACCAGAUCUAAAACACAUACUCACACAUGUGGAUAACUUAUAAACAAAUAAAAACAUAAACCAAUGCAUAGAUUAACAUAAUAGUUUCAGAUCUAGUACACUUAACAAAACCCACUAAGACCAAAUAAACUAUAUUUUUGUUACCUAAUAAGAAAGAGAAAGAGUAAAACACAUCAAGAUAAUACAAAACAAGGGUCAGUGGUUAACGUGAUGUCUUUUGAAUAGAGUGAAAAUUGUGAACAGACAAAAAAGACAAACACAUCAAACACACAAAACAAAAACAUAACAUAAACAUAAACAUGAACAUGAACAAACUAAGACAAAUUCAUGUUUUUUUUUCAUGAUUAAUUUGAAAAAUUAUAAGAAAAAAGCACUAACCCCAUGAGAUUAACUCUGAGAUUAACCUUAAGUUGAACAAAGAGAUCAUAAAGUUGACCUAAAUCAGCAGCAUUGCCAUGAGAAUAAAGCAAAGUUAAUCUUGCAUAAGGGUUCUUAAGAUAAAAAGCAACUAUCUUAUUUCCAUGUUUUGUAUCAACAAGAAGAACAUCCAAUGAGUUAUCAUCAGGAUGAGGAAUCGGAGACGCGGUGGAAACCACCGUGAGUUUGCCGUCAUCAUUCUUCUUCAGCUGAUACGUUGGUGGUGAAGGUGGAAAAAAUGCAAAUUUUGAAGCUAAAGAAGACACCAUGCAACCCAUUCACCAACCAACACAAAACAAACUCAUUUGUUGAUUAUAAAGACUUAGAGAAAAUUUCAAAAUGGCCCUUUUGAACCUUAUGAUAUAAUAAUUUGUGGGUAGGCUUCAAAAUUUGAACUUUUUUUGUUGGUUUGUGAUGAGAGGUGGUGGAGUUGCAGGGUACAGUGAUGAUGAGAAUAGGAUUUUUUUUUUUUUUUUUUUGGUUUAGCCCCACUUGAAAUUUGCAGAGAUUUUCAGAGAGAGAGAGUGAGGUGUUAAUGUUGCAGCAGAAACUAGUUAUGGAAGUAUGAAAGUGUAGUACAGUGAGAAGAUGUGGAGUGUAGUGAUGUCAAGAGAAUAGAGAGAGUGAAAUUGAAGCUUUCAAAGGGAAGGACAAAGGUUUUUCAUUUUUAAUUUGAUAUAUCAAAAAUAUAUAUUUUUAUAGUAAAAAAGUUUAGAUGAGUUGGAUUUCGUAAAUUCACUAGAUCAGAGAGCAUACCUCGUGAUUCAUGUAACGUUAACAAAUAGAUUUACAAUUUUAAAAAAAAAAUUAUACUUAAAAGUUUAUAGAUGAAUCAACUUUUUAUCAACUGAGUCAAUAUUUAGUUAAUAUGAAAUUUUUUGAUUUUAUAUUUAUUUGCAUGACUUCAUAGUUGUCAGCUACACAGAGAAACAGGUCUUGUUGUAUUGCUGCUAACUGACAAUUUUUAUUGGAAAAUGAAUGAUUCUUUCCUAAGAGGUGGUUUAUUGAAAAUAAGAUUUAAUUUCACUUACAACUAUUGCAUGUGUUCACAUCUAGUAGUUGACAAUAUUUGUUGAAUAAAAAUUAUCUUUAGUCGAAGCAAUAAGAAAAACAAAAAUUAUAAAUAUUCAAUCUCAAAUCUAUGCAAAUUAAGUUGCUUGUAUAUCCAAUGAUUGGAUCUCAGUCAGUGCAACAAAGCUAAGGUUGUGGAGGAGGUUUGAUCUCUACAUAGCACAUUGGAUUAUUAUGGUAGUUUUCUAAAAGAAAUAUAGUAUCCUCACACAUACAUCUUGUUAAAAAAAUAGGAUCUUCAUACAUACAUCUUGUUUAGAAUUAAUAAAAGUGUUUACAUUUGAUUGAUAAACAAAAAUUGAUUAAAAAAAUUAGGUUAUUGUCAUUGGUCGAGUUAAAAAAAAAAUAGUUGUCUAGCAAAAACUUGGUAAUGUAGUGAUUAGAGAUUAGGGAUGAGUGUCUUCAUGUUUGAAAUGUGUGCUUCUUUGUUUGACCAUGUCACCAUAUUGUGUUGUUAACAUUGCACAAAAGGAGCUAUUUAGGGACUCAUUUGUACAACUUAAAUAUAGGGGCAUGUAAUUAUACAUUUUUAAUACUCAAAAAACUAAAAGUACAAUUACACAUCUUACUUUGAAGGAUAAAGAAAUAAAUUUUAGCCAUAGGUUAAUAUCUAAAAAAUAUUCACAAUUUGCUAAAAAAAAUAUAUCAACAAUUUUAUUUUAUUUUUUUAACAUGUAAAACUAAUUCAUCAAAUUGAAUAGGAUCACAAUGAACAACUUAAUUGUCUCUCAAGAAUUUUCAUGUUGUCCAUCCACAUGACUGAAUUCAAAUCCAAGAAAUAUCUAAUUAAAUUCGUAGAGAUCUAAAUCAUUUCAUCAAAAUGUUAUUGGGUCACAAUUUGUCAUAUAUGUGUAUGUCGUAUUAAUAAUCAAUUUUAAUAGUUGAAAUUUUAUUAAUUUUUAGUUUUCUUUUAAAUAACCCGCGCAAAUAUUAUUGUUAUGAUCAUAGUAAUUAUUUCAGUAUUUUUUUUUUAGAAAAGAAAUUAUUAUAUUAAUAAUAUUAUUAGAGUCAUGUUAACUUAUGUCCUAAUGACACGUGUUAAAGAACUCAAAAAGAGUAACUUUGCAUUGAAAAACAUAAUAUUUUAAUUUUUAAAGAGUUGACUAUACGAAUUUUAAUAUGUAUAUUUCUAUAAUGAGUUUGUUAACGUGUGUUCUUGAAGGCACAAAUUAACAUUUGCCAUAUUAUUAUUAUUGUUAUUAUAUUAAUAUUAAAAAUUAGUGUUGCUAUUGUAUUUUCUGAUCACUUUAACUUGCAAGUGUGAUUUCAUGCGUGUGCAACUUGAUCGAUCUGGCUCUACUAGUAGUAAAGUAACUAAACUUUUAUCGAAUAAUGCCAAAUUAUAUAGUAACGUUUCUUUGAAACUUUAAGAUAGCGUGCUGUAGUGUUCAAAGUUUUGAUAAGGAGUCAUUUCAUAAUUUGCAUUGGCAUGAGAACCUUACACAGUAAAAGAUUUUUAAGGUAUAGUAGUACUUGUUAAUUUCAUAUAUGAAUCUUCAUCUCUAAGAUGUCCUUAAUGUCAAUUUUGAUGGCUUUGUAUGAUUAAUUAUCGAUAUGAUCACAAACAUAAUCAUGCUUUAGGGAAUAAUUCUUGAUCAAAAGGAAAAAAAGUUUGCGGAUAAUGCGUUUGCAAGGGAGAUAAAGUAAUAUUUUCAUCAUUAAUAAAGCCAAAAUUGUCCUCCAGGUGGUGAUAAUUAGGUGAAAAAAAACUACUUGGAGUUUCUAUUGCCUUAAUUUUUGUUUUUUCUCUAUGUAAAGAGGGGGAAAUUGUGAUUGGUAAAAUAAAAGAUCGUGAAAGGAAAUUGAGUGUGACACAACGGACAAUGACUAGAGUUAUUUGUUAAUGCAAAUAGUUAAGGGGGAAAAACAAAAAUAAUAUAUUGAAAGAAACUUUGUUUUAGUAUACAAGAAAACAGUAAUUUUAGAUUUGCAAAAUGAUUUUUUUUAAGGAAAUUUGCAAUUUCUAUAUUAAUUUUCUUGAUAAACCCCCUUAUCAUUUUGCAUAUUAAUAUUAUAAGCAAAUCAUGUACAUAUUAAUGUAUCUUACGCACGAUAACAUCUGAAUGAGAUGAUAAGAAAUAUUUUUUUUAUUUAACUAGAGGGUAUUUCAUUAAAAAAAAACAAAUAUGCUCCUUUUUAUUUUAAACAAAAAUAACUAAUGUUGCUCUUUGAAAUGAAAUUAAGAACAUCUCUAAUAGAGAGAAAAUAAUGAACUCAAAGUUGUUUUCAUAAGUGGUCUUUGUAAUGUCACGCCUCUUAAUCAAUCCAAACAUAUUUAGUUUAAUGGUAAAAAUUUAAGCAAUUUUUUUUGGAACGAACACUUUAUAAUAAUAUUAGUAGCCUUUGGAGAUCUAUCACGAAAAUCAUGCAAGAAUUGGACGAAAAACUCAAUAGCAUCAAUGAGUAUAAUUUUAACCUCCUCUUUCUCGGAACUAAAGAUAAACACCUUAACAUCACCCAUAGAAACGACAUGGAGCUCGUCAAAACCCGCAUCCAAUAUAUGUUGUUGUAACAGUGGUAUACUCUCAAGUCUCAACAUCAAACACUCUUUCGACCAACCAUUUAUGUGCCCAUUCCAUGUCUUUUCUAGCAUAGUUAACCUCCAGACCCUUCCUCCUUGAAUGAGCACUCUCACCAUGUGUCACACCCUCGUCGCUCCUUUCUUCCCCUUUAAACACACAAUCCUCCAUCCUAGUCAUUGUCACUGCGUACGACUGCCUCACCUCCCCAAUGAACCUCUAAAUUGACCCACUAUAUCUCCCUUUCGAACACAUCUGGCUCCCAUCACCUCAUUUUCCACCCUCGCCGUUUUCACUUCUUCAUACCUUUCCACCUUAAGCCGCCCCCCCACCCCCACUCUCACACACACACAACACAAUCUUCCUCUCUAUCGACAACCCCUUCUCCACCUUAUGUUGUCCUUCUUAGCACAUACAAUUUCUAUGACGCCAAGUCCACCAAACAAUAUCAAUGAAGAUGAAUGAGAUCCAUUAGUGUCAACCUUAAGUCCAAUUGUGCUCAGUCAUGUUAGGGUAGAAAUCUGAGUGAGUGAAACCAACAUGCUACCAAAUGUUUCUAGAAUAAAUGCAAUCUUGCAUACAAUAUAGAAAUGUUUCCUUUAAAAAAAAAUAUUAGAGACAUUUGUUUUUUACGAUAAAAUCUUAGAGACUCUUAGGCAUUAUUUUUUAGUGUAAAUUCGGUUUCACAACUCUUGGACACUAACUUUUUUUUUUUUUGUCAGACAACUUAGUGGUUAGAAAUUCACUUUAAAUAAAAAGGGUGGCCGAGGUUUGAAUUUUGACUUCUGCAUAAAAUAUACAAUAUUUCUACUAACCGAAUUAAAUUCAUGGAGACAAUAUUUUUAUGCAUGUUGUACUAUUUUCUUGUGUGACUGAUUUCUCAAUUUAUAUUGCUCUGUUUGUUGACAUUGCUCUAUUUUUUUCACUUGAUUGUCAAAUCAUUUCAUGAAUGCGAUGAGUCAAGAAUUUCUUAAUUUAUUAAAUGAAUGGCGAUACAUCAUUAAGGACAUGUGUAUAUUUUUAUAUACAAUAAUUUUAUUCUUCCUUAAAAAAACAAUAUAUACUUGCGUGUUUAUAAAUUUAGAGAAAUAAUAUUUGACAUUCCCUAAACAAAAAACAACGACAUUAAAACUUCUAUAUCAAAUAUGAUAUUUUUAUUUGUACUUUUGAAACUGUAACUUGUAUAAGAUAAAAAGGUAAGAGAGGAAAGGAUAAAUAUUUUCUUUGGAUUGGUCCAAAAAAGCUAAAAAAUAAAUGCUUAAAUAAAAGAUUAGUUUUUUUUGAAGGAAUAAAUAAAAGAUUAGUUAAUUAGUUAAGAAUAUAAUAUACACCAACUAAAUCACCUUGGUUAAUAAGAAAUUUUAGUAUCAUUCUCUCUUUUACAAAUCCUAGUUGUCACCUCCUUUUCUCUUUAUCUAUCGUAGAUGGAUGAUUUAUGAUCAAUUUUUACCCAAAGUUACUCCUUUGAAUUAUUUUUUCUUCUUUUUCUAAUUGAACAGAUGAUCUUCACAUAUUUUUAGUCUUCUUUCGUUUGCUUAUGUGAUUUCGUCGUCUCCACGACUCUGUUUGUUUUGAUUUUCUGUCUUUGAGCGGGGUGUUUUUGAUUUCUCAUCUUAAUGCGGUGUUUAUUUGAUUUAGUUGAAAGAUUAGUUUUGAGCAAGUGCAUAUCCGAUCAAUGACUUUUGCGUCGUCAACGUUGCAGAUCCGACGACAUGAGUAUUACGAAAACUUGAAUAGGACUAUAUUUGUAGGUUUAGGUACUUUGCACCUUUAUGCUAUUAACGUAGAUGGUAUAAGUUUUGUUCACAAAUUUAUCCUUUUUAUUUUUAACGACUUUGAAUUUGUAUUGUAACAUAUAUCGUUUACUUUUGUAAAAGAAAAAAAAAAAAGGCUUAAGUGCAGUUUUACCCCCCUUAUUUUUAUCGAAUUUGGAUUGUGCCCCACUUUUAUAAAACUCGGAAAUUUACCCCCCUAUUUUCAUUGAUUCUUGAUUUUGCCUCCCCUAUGUUAAAACUCGGACAUUUACCCCCCCCCCCCCCGAUUUUAUGUUUUUCAGGAUUUUGCCCCUUCCUCCUAUUUUAUCCACAUAAUUAAUUAUUUAUAUUAAAUUUUUUAUUUUUAUUUUUUAAUAAAAAAUAAAACCAGAAAAAUACUAAAAUAAAUGAAUAAAAAAUGCAUAAAACUAGUAUGGUCUCUAAAAUAAAAAAACUGGUAUGAAAAUAGAAAAUAUUUAGAGGUGCAAACUAGUUUUUUCAUGUAUUUUUAAUUGAAUUAUUUCUUGUAUUUUCAUUGUUUUUCUAUUUUUUUUGGUUUUUCUUGUUUUCUUUUUAUUUUUUUUUUCCGAAUUAAUAUGUUCUAAUCAUUUCUUUAUUUUUCUAGUAUUUAUUGGUUCUUUAUUUUAGAAUAGGGGGGCAAAAUCCUGAAAAACGUAAAACAGAGGAGUAAAAUUUCGAGUUUUAAAAUAAAGGGGGUAAAAUCCAGAUUCAAUCAAAAUAGAGGGGGUAAAAUUCCAAGUUUUAAAAUAGGGGGCAAAAUCCAAAUUCAAUCAAAAUAAGGUGGUAAAAUUGCAUUUAAGCCGAAAAAAAACCCUAAAAUAUUACUUGUAAGUAAACAGAGACCAUGAGUUUGUUCUCUAGCCCAAAAAAGGUCAAGUAGUCAAACACAUUAUAAAGGAAAGAGUUUUAAAAAAAUAGUUUUUUAUUUAAUAAAAUAAGAUUUUUUGUUCAUUUUUUCCCACGUCAAAAAUCAUAAUUUGUAGCAACUUUCAUUAAUACAUAAAUCACUUUCAACGAACACAAACAUGAUCAUUUAUGGUUUUGCCAAUUAUAAACAUAGAGACCCAAUUACCUGAAAAAAAAGUUGCCUCAUUCAUAAUCAAAUACGGACACAAAAGUUACAAACAAACCAUGUCUCUAACAUAUGUAAUUAAAUCCUUCAAAAAAACACAUAUGUAAUUAAACAAUAACCAAUAAAAUUGUGAUGGCUGACAUAUAGGGGGUACUAUAUAUGAAAAUUUAGUCCAAAAUUGGAAGCAUAGGACAAAAACUGGUUGCUAUGAAUCUAUGAUGUGUGGGACGAAAAUAACUUUGACAGCUACAAUAAUAUGAGCAAGGCAAAGCACGUGUGGCAGUAAGAUCAGUGAGGAAAUAUAGGCACACAAGGUAACAACUCAUCAGCUAGCUAGAUCACUGUGAAAAAUAAGAGAAUCAGAAUAUUCUACCUACGAUUCAUUUUCGAGUUUUCAAAUUUCAGACUUCUGUUUUUUGUGGUGAUCGGGAUUUAAAAUUCAAACCUUAUAUAUAUUAUGUAUUGUCUCUACCAACUGAGCUGAGUUCACGAAGAUCAACUUCUGCCAUAUAUAUACAAGAGGAAAUUAUUUAUGAAUAACCAAAUUGUACAAUCGACAACAUAUUUACAAUUUUUUAACCGAUUUCGAAUUGCAUGCACUAAGAAUGUUAUAUGGUGUUGGAAGGGUUGUCUGGAUUUUGGUUGUAUAUACAACACAUCUUCCCAUCAAGAUGGUCUUGUAACUUCUAUUAAGGUUUGAUAUGGUUAAGAUAUAAGUUGUAAAACUAGCUUAUUAGCUAAUUAUAGUUGAAAUUUAGUUGUUAGCUUAUAAUUAAAAAGUUAAGUAGUGAUAACAAUCAUUGAUGAAUGAAUAAAUAAGUGAUUGAUAUCACAUGAACAUACAUAAUAAAUCAUGAGUGUUUUGAAAUAUCAAUAGUUAUUAUUUCACUCUUACAAUGUUUGGACACUCUAACUAGGGGAUGGGUUUGCCUGCUGUAAUAAACACACACAGUUCCACACUGUAAACAAUCUCAGCCACACAUUUGCAAUCAGACGGUUCAGCUUAACGCUGUUACAAAAUCACUCUAAACCAUCUCAGCCACACAUUACAAUCUGACGGUCCUAAUUCGUUACAGCGUGAAACAGCGUGCUUUUUCUACAGCACCAAAUCCAAACCCCUCUAACUAGAGAUAUUGGAUAGUUCUGUUGUGUAUAUGACACAUUCAUGAUAUUGUUCUAUUUAGUGGAUGGCUAUUUUUCACAAAAUCAAUUUUAAAUAAAGCAACAAAUAUACCAAACUUAAAUCAAUGUAAAUAACUUCCACACAAGUUGCCCCUAAAAAAAAAAAAAGACUUCCACACAAGUUGAUUAAAAACCGACUUAUAUGUGAUAUUAGUGCAACAUUUCUUGGAUGAUGUAGGGUCUUUGGGAAACACCUUCAAUUAUCAUUUGUUAUGGACAAAUCGAUUUUGAUAAGAGCUUAUCAUUUGCAUUCGUAUUUAUAACCAAUCUUUGAUUUGGUUUAUUUACAUAUAUUCUGAUUUGAUUUGUUCCAUUGUACAUAGACAGACAAAGAUUGAUUACUAAUCAAUGGUUUUUGCCCCCUUAGCACAAGGGUCCAUCUUGAUACUAUAUCUGAUCCUUAUAUCAAGAUUUUUUCCACACAUAACAACAAUUUGUGACUCCAUUCCUUUUUUUUUUUUCUUCUCUUGCUCUUGACAAUUUUCACCGUAGAUGUGGCAUGAAAGUGAAGCAUUGAUGGAUAAUGGUGUGUGCAAUUCAAACUCUAUUGAUUUUUUUAGUGGUCGGGAUUUGAACUCCAGACCUUGCAUAUUUUAUGCAUUGUUCCAACUAACUCUCACGAGGACCUAUUGAUUGGUUGCAUGUAGAUAUUUUUAAGGUGAACUCUACUUUGUUUUAUUGGACAUGAAUGAUAGUCAACAUUCAAUCAUUUAAUGUAAUGUUAUUUAUUGUAUAUUUAAUUAUUUUAAAAUGAAUUUUAACUUUGAAUUAAUUUUAUCUUUAGGAAAGAACUUAAUAAAACUUUCGGUACCACAAAUUUUUUAUUUUUGACAAAAGGGUACCACAAAACUUCUCUUUUCUUAAAAUGAUUUAAUUUAUUUAUAUGCAUUAAAAGUGUAAGGCUUAUUAUACCACCAAUCAAUCAUAAUAUUUCGAUCAUUAAUUUUUUUUUUAACUUUCAUCAUAUCAAACUUAAUAGUCAUGCAAAUAAUGGUUUUGUGAUUGUUAACAAUACAAAAAAAAAAAAAAUCCUUAAAAAAAAAAACACAAAAAAUUUACACUUUCGGUGAAACUACUAUACUAUCAUUUUAUUCUUUAUCUUUUUCGAUUAUUUGCUAUAUUCUAGGACACAGGAUCUCACAUAUAUGUAUAUAUUAUACUUGUAAAAUAUGAAAUGAAUUUUUAGCAAGAUAACCAACCUUCUUUGCUUAUUGCAUAGAAAUGUUGGUGUAGUAUAUAUCAUCUGAGAAUUGACUUUACAAAAUGAAUGAGAAUAGAUGAGAUUCAUUCAUGCUACUAAUGGUGAAAAUGAGACAACUCAAUAGCAUCGUCCUUUCCCUUUAGUUUGUACAUCUAAUGGUUAGUGUCCCUACUUGUUUCAACCCCCUAUCACCUAUCAUCAUACUCCAAGUGUAUAGAUGGUUAUAUUUUGAGAUCAAGUUAGUUUUUUUGUAAUAAAAAAAAAAAAAGACCAAGUUUCUUUUUUAAAAAAAUGCGAUUUUUUAUUCUAUUUUAUUAUGGUAUGCGGAUCAACCAGUUUAACAUGUAGGCCAACACAGACCGAACUCAGAUCAACAUUAUCACGAUUCGAUAUAUCUACUGGCAAGCUAGUCUGAUCCGCUUAACGUGCAUGUUUAUGUGAAAAUGGCUAAUAACGUACCUAGCUCCACUACUAAUAGCUAGUUUGGUCCGCUUAACGUGUAUGCUUACGUGGAAAUGACCAAUAGUGUACCUAGCUCUACUACUAAUAAGUGUGGAAUAUGAACUUUUAUCAUAUUUUUCUCAUAUAAAAUGUAAAAUUUGGAUUCUAUAAUCAAUUUAAAAAGUUCAUACUUUUUUUUUUGGUUUCAAAAAGUCCAACAUUUUAUAUCCUAUGGUUCUUUAACCCAUGGGAAAUCAAUUUGAAAUACUAUUGUGAACUGAUGUAAAGAGUCUAGUGAUGGGAAGUUAUUCCUACCCUUUUUGACUGAUUCCAUUUUAUUUUGAUUAGCCACCUUUUCAUAUAGGUUAAUAGUCCAAACACCAAAUCUUAAAGUGACUUAUUUUAAGGAGAUGCCAUUUUUUCUUUCUAAAAGCAUUCGACAAUCGUUGUACUGCAAAUUGAUAGGUUACAGUAAUUCAUUGUUUAUGGGCACAUAAAUUUGCUUAAUUUUGUCUUUUGAUUGAAUAAGUUACCCUUAUACAAGGUACAACAUCUCAUUUUUCCCCAUUCCAUUAUACCUUUUUUAUUCGUUUGAGAUUAACACAAUUGUGUGGGUUUCACAUGUCUUUUUUUCCCCAUUCCUUUAUACUAUAUUCCUAAUUUUCAAAAUAGAUCCUCGCAAUUAUAAGUUCCCCUUGCGAUACACCUACAAAGGAACACUUAUAACUAGAUGAGUAAAAAAUAUGUGCUAAAAUUUAUUUUUAGGGUCCGUUUGUUAUAGCUUUUUUAAAUAUAUUUUGAUAGUGUAAUGUGUUUUUGUUAUAAUUUUUUUAAUAAAGAAAUUUUUAAGGAAAACUUCAAAUGAAAAAUGUUUAAAUAGUUUAUCUUAAAAUAUCAUUCUAAGUAUUUCAUCAUUUGGUUAUAAUUUUUUUUUAUUAUCUUAAAUAGUUUAUCUUCUCAAUUUCUUCAAUCCCUAAUGAAAUAUCUUAUGUGUUUGAAGCCUUUUUAAUUUCUUCAAUAACGAGGAUGGAAGAAGGAAAAUAUGGAAGAAAUUGAAGAGGAUUUGAGUUUAUUCUAAAUUUGGGAAUUAGGGUUCUAAUGUUCUUAUAGAGAUUUCAAUUUUAUUUUUUUUAUUCUAAUUUCUGAAUUUUUUUUAAUGGUUUAUGAUUUAAAAAAUUUGAUUUGUUGACAUGUUAAUGUCAUUUUUUAAGUUGGUACUGCCACAUAUGUGUUUCUUUGCCAUAUCAGCAUUUUUGGAGGGUAAAAUGAGGGUUAGGAUCAAAAUUGCAAGAAACAUGAUAGUAUAGGGACUGUUUUGUUCGAUUUGAAAAGAGCAUGACCAAUUUCGUUAGUUGGUUAAAACCCGAAAAUCAAAAAUAUAAUUAAGUCUUUUAUCUAUAUAUCUGUUGGGUGUGGCAGUAGGUGACCCCUCAGCCUCAUCUUUUGCUUAAAAAAAAAAAAAAUAAUUUAGCCACAUAUGACCAAACACACACACAUAAAUCUAUACUCAAAAUCAAUUUUACCUCUUUCAAAAGUAUUACCAACAAACAUUAAUUUGCUUGUAUUUAAAUAUGAAAAUGCUAGUGGCGGAUCACUAUUUAGGCUCGGGUGGAUCAGAGUCGACCUGACCAGAAAAAUUUAACUUUUUUUAUAGGAAAAAUACUAAAUUAUCUUUAACUUUUAAAUAUAAUUAUCUUGCGGCCCAACCUCCUCUUCAUCUUAAUACAUUUUCAAGUCGCUCGAAACGUUUAGAUAAUUAUUUGGAAUUUUUAAAGUAUGUAAUUUUAUUUUUUUAUAAUCAACUCUAUGUUUAAUGUUUAUUAAAACAUAAAUUAAAAGUGUGUGUGUUUUAGUUUAUUUUUGUAGUCCAACUGAAAUUUCUUUUUGGCUCCACUACAACUAAUAAGUGUCUUUAGGCAUUGUCUAAAACACUAAAAGAGGUAACUUUUGGAUACAAAAUAAUAUAAUUAUUAGUUUAACAAAUAUGUGUUGUAUUUACAAAAUAAAUUUGGCUGAGUCUGGAUAACGAGUUUCUCUGGGGCACUCUUUACAUAUUUUUUUUUGUUGAAUCGACUCUUUAAACAUACUAAAUUAAGUAGUUAUUCUUUAAAAUUGUCAAAGUUUUUAAUUUUCAAUGUACUGAUUACAUAAAUUUUCGUAAAAUUUAUUUAUUUAAAGUCCUUAACGAGUGUUCUGGACAUUAGUUUACUCUUCCCUUUAUAUAUUCUUUAAGCAAUGGACCGGUUAGCACGAUGAGUAAGGACUAACUCUGCUGUGUAUUGGCCACUGUGUUAAUAAGUAAGAUAGGAGUAUAUUAUAGUUUUGUUCGUAUUUCAAUUUUGCUCGUGUCACUGUAUUUGGGUCCUUCUGAAAGGAAAAAAAAAAUUCAUUGGCUCCUCAAAGGAACAUGCACACUCCUCAGAAAGAUUUGGUAACCUUCGUUGGUCAUCGUAAGUAAUAAAAUAUCAAUUUUACCACUACGUGAGAAUGUGACAUUAUUCGUGACCCUCGUGCAUGCAAUCUUAAACUAUUCAUUAUUCAUUUUAGUUUAUCUCAAAAAAAAUAAAAAAUUAUUCAUUUUAGUAUUACUCCAAAUAUUCACAUCAUCCUAAACUUCAUUAUUUAAGCAGUGUCGUAACGCUACCUACUCCCGAAAGAUUCAAUGGGACCAGAUGACAGUCAAAAUUGUUUUCUUAAACAACGCAUUAAUUACUUGAACACGAUGAUUAAAAUAAACAAUGCCAAUAAAUGUUUUUGAAAUAAUUAUUAACAUGACUCAGGAUGAGGAUAGUGAAAAAUACGAAAAUUUGUAGAUAGAGUUUGUAACUCGCAAUCUAAUCAAGAGUCUUGUUUAUCCAUUUAAAAAUGUGUGACAUCGUAACUUGUCACUCUUUCAUCCUAAGACGAUUGAUGAGGACGACAAUAGAAGUACAACACGUAUACAUCCAAAGUUCAGAACAAAUAAUUAUUUGAAUUUGAAGAAAAAUAAUAUAUAUGCAUAUAUAUUUAUUUACCGUGUUAUUUAAAAAAACACAUUGUAUUAAUAAUGAAAAGCAUAACUUUUCUUCUUCAGAAAAUAGAAAAGGACAAAACUUAAAUUCUAAGUCACUUGAUUGAAAAUCUAGUGUACUUACAUUUAUCACUAUCUACCUAGAAAAUGUACUGUUAAUUAACACGAAUAUAAAUGAAAAAAUGUUAUAUUAUUAUAUCAUUGAACAUGUCAUUAUCUAAUUAUGGCCAAUCUUGUUAUGUGCAGAUGUAAUUAAAAAAAAACAAUACAAAAACACAAUAAAACAAUGGGGUGGUACCAUUUCCACGGGACCCUUUCUCGUGUAUCAUAAAGGAAAAUAGAAGCAAAAUAGAAAGAUAUUGGCCUUAUUGAACAUCAUAGGGCUGUAUUGGUUUCAACUAUUUUAGCACAAAUUUGUAGCUGUGGGGUAUUGAUGAUACUACCAUAUACCAUACGUAGAAAAUGACUUUGACUUAAACUUGGCCAAACCUAGAAACAUAAAAUUGACAAGGGAUACAUGCUUUCUUAAAUUGUACUAUCAAGUUGGUUGGUUUGUCAUCUCUAUAUAGAAUGAUUUAGGUAAACUUUGGUCUAAACACACUAAAUUAUAAAAUAAAUGAAAUGCUAACGAGUGUCUUGAGUCACUCUUUAAACAUAAAAGUUUGUGUAUUCAGUGCAUUGAAAAUUGAACUGUUCGACUUGUGUCCUAAAAACACUUGUUAAGAUAUUAUAAUAAUCAUAGAUAUACAUAACUCAAAUGUUGUUUUGACUAUUGUCAAUAAUCCAAAUUUAAAAUUUUAGAAGCACCCUUAAUUACACCAAAUCAUUUUGCAUGAAAUUUUUCUUUAUGUUAUUUUUCUAAGAUAGUUGAAUAUUGAAGGGUACGUUAUGAUAUUAAUUAAAAUAACUUUUGAAAGAACAUAAAAAAUUUGAUGGUAGACAUGUCACGGAUUGAACAAGUAUACACGAAUCUAUAGCAAGAUAACUUAAGGAAACCCUUCACUUUUUCACCAACAUAACCAGGCAGGUCCCCAAAAUUCAAUAAUGAAAGAGCAGCAAAUGUUUGCAUUGGCAGCAUCACUGUAGGGGCAGUAUAGGACAAUUGUCCUUGAAUCGUAUUGGUACAUUAUGGUGGUUCUGGUUCUAUUGACUAGUAGCUCCAUUGAGCAGUAAUAACACAGAUUGAAGGUCAUUCUUAUUUUGAAUAGUUGCCCUUUUACUACUUGUAAGUUGUGUGUGUGUAUAUAUAUAUAUAUUUUUUUUUUUGUAUAUUGAAAACGGUAGAAUAAGGGCUAAAUCACGUUAGGACCCCACAUUAUUUACCAAAAUCCAAUUAUAUAUACUGUGCCAAGGUUUAUGGUCAGAGAAUAGAGAAUUAAAAAAAAAAAAAAAAAUCUUUAGAUAUAUUUAAAGUUAUAUUUAGGUGAUGGUUGCUCAAUAAACACCUUAAGAUUGCUCACUUGGCUGAAAAAAGUCAAUCAGAGUUACAACCCGGCCGGAUUUUCCAUAAAAAAACAGUUGAUCACGAGUUAUGCCACAAUCAAAAGCAAAAUUGAGAUGUCUAUUGAACAACUUUCUGUUUAGAUUGUUAUUUGAGCAGAUAUAAAUAGCCAUACGCUCAUCUUAUAUCAAGCAAUAAGAACUGAAAUUUUGUGAAGACAUGGUUCAAUCUCCAUUCUCCUUGAUGUUAUUCCAGAUUCUCACACUUGGUUAAGAACAGAAAUAGUUCAUGCCUAAAAAAUUGUAUACUUAUUAAACCAAUUUGAAAAUUGUAUCGUACAAACAAGUUUAAAUCUUAAAUUUGGGACUCAAGUUAGGCUCAUGUAUUAGAAAACUGUCUAGUUUGACAUAUUUCCACCCACAUCAAUGCAAAUAAACAUUAACUUGAACAGAAGCAACAAAGUAAGUGCAUCACUUUUAUUAAUUCUGCCAAUGUGAAUCAUCAUCCAAUUGCAUUUGGACCUGCUUAUAAUGUGGAACGUUUGAAUAAUUUGAUAAUGAAAAGGUUCUAAUAUUAACAAUUAUACAUCUAUAAUGAAACAAAUUGAACUCAAAAUUACAAAUGGAAAAUUAGCUAUUAUCUAUUUAGCUAGCUAAAAGAAAUCCUGAUACAAAAAAAAUUGGUAAAAUUAUAUUUGGUCUCUUAUCAGUCAAUGGACUGGAUGUGGUAAGGAACUAGGAGGGACCUGUACAGCAGCUGAUUUUGAACCUUCUGAAACAGAUUACUGAUAAUGGCAAGCACACAGAAAAAUUGAAAAGAAAAUAUUUGACAGGAAAUUUCCAUCAAGCCCUUGGAUGUAGUAAAAGACAGUAAUCUCAAGUGAAUCAGUUGGAUUGUUUUACUGACGCCUUGUAACUUGCAUCUACAAAAGCAAAGAAGAAAUUAGAACCUUCAGCCAUGAAAAAUUCAAGCAAAUAACUGUAGAAAAUGCUAAAAUUGAAGAUUUGCAUUUAAAGCAAUCAUAAAUUGUAGUUCAAUGAAAACAAGCAGCCCAUCUAAUAAUCAAGAUUUGGUUACUCCAUCAAUGAGAAAUGUUUUCAAUCCUAAUCUACAAGAUGCCUCUGUGGUAGUAGAACUCCAUUUUUCUACAUCUAAAGUAAGAAUUGUACCUGAGAAUCAGUGAAAAGUGUAAUCAGAAAGAUUCAAAUCUGAACUACUUCCAUGGCUGCGACAAGGAAACUGCGGGAGUUGAUGCUUCUAAUCCUUUUUUGCCGUGUAUGGCAGACUCCAGCACAUCAUAUUGACUAGUCACAGAAUCAUACAAGGCUUUCGAGUAUGCUUCUUUAGCCUGCACCAUCAGAACCCAUAUUUCAAUUAUCAAAUUAAAGAAAUCAAAGAAUCCAAUUAUCUAACGGAUAAUAAAUCAUGUAUGGAAGCACUCGGUCUAUUUUUUAAGCUCAGAACAAAGAGGGUCAAAAACAUUACAAAGUUUGAGCAUAUGACCCAAGGAUAAUGAAUACUGGGCUACUGUACAUAGAUCAUUAACUUCAGCUAUGGGACUCUUUACAUUACAAAUUUACAAGAAUUUUAAUCAAGUUCUAUAACCAGCAAAUGUUAAUACUUAGUUUUGGUAGAGGGUCCAAAGGCUCACAUGAGGUACUUUUCUUUUUUGUGGAGUAUCCAAAUUUCUCAUCCAAAGGCACGUAGGGGAGGAUCCCUCCUUAUAGCCUAAUAGCUUCUAUGGAAUUUAUGUGUGCAGCAUCAACAACUAAAACAAAAUGACACAAUCUGUAUUUAAUAGUGUUUUAUACGUGAUGUCAAGCUACAUAGCAUUCUUAGGCAGUCAUACUUAUUACUUCAAGGAUACAAGAAUGACAAUAGGUGACUUAUUAGAAAGAAAAAAAAUUAAGUAGAAUCAACGAAAAAUAAUAAAUGUAAAGAUCUGAGGAAGUUGAAGUCGAAGUGAUCAUAUUCUCCUUACCUUUUCAGGAUUUUCACAAGAAGCAGUGAUGUCGGAAAAGCUUAUUUCUGGAGCAAGUGAUAUGCCAGUCCCAUGAUAUGAUAUAAUUCUUUUCUCCCCAAUUUCUUUUUCAACCUGCAAAAUUACACGGUGUCAAAAAAAAUUAGACGAAAAAUAUAUCAGGGCCAACUCUCAAAGGAAGGAACACCAUACCUUUAGUGGAGGGGGCAUUAUGUCAUGGCACAGUAUUGCCAUAGGAUAGAUAUGACCUGGUGGACCUGAAUGAUCGACAAGCCUUCGCAUAUUGUCCACUGAAGAAGAAUCAAAGGGUGCCUGAAUGCCUCAUAAGAUUGAAAUUCAUAAUCAGUAUGGAAAUAUCACAGAAUUGGUUGUAUUGCACCGAGGAUGUUAUGCACUUAGAAUUAUUAACCAUAUAAAAUAUGACAUAAGUUUUACUGUUCAUCAUUUUAUACAACUACAAGCAAAAGAAAGCAAAAAAAAAUUGUCGAACAAUAAUUUGCGCCGAUACACAUAACACAUAAUAGAUCAGAUUCACAAACUAAAACAUUGGAUUAAUAAAUUGGACAGAGCAAUAAUCUGGCAUAGAGCACAACCAUGAGAGAAUAAAGAUAGCCCAAUAAGCAUGGAAAUCAUUGUCAGUUAUCCGUUUUCAUGAUAAGCAAAUCAUAAGGUAAUAAAAGUAUAUAUUUGGUUUUCAAAGCUAAACCAACUAAAUAAUAAAAUGGUGCAGCAGAAAAGAACUCCACAUUUGAGCAAAACCGGGACUUCGUUUCUAGCCCCCUUACCAUCCCACCCGUGAUGAAUUAUCCAUGUACUUGACUCUACCGUAUGUAUGAGACAAGGCUAUGUUGUUGGUUUUUUAUUUUUUUGAAAGAAAGGCUAUGUUGUUUUUAUAACACAUUGGAAUUCAAAUAGUAUUUCCACCUAUUUCCAGUGAAAAAGAUCACUAAGCAACCUUUGCAAACAACUGGUUAUGCUUAGAUAGAGUGUUGGACAUAGAUAGCUCCCAUCCUAACUGCUUCUAACAUACUUACUUUAUUUUUCUAUAAGCAUAUAUAAAAUAAUAAAGGAAAUAACAUAACAACAUGAGCUGGACUGCUCGAGUAUGCUUCUGGAAGCAUUUACCCCGUUAACGAUAUUGUGUUUACGAAUAUGAAUCAUAUGAUCGAUCUAAGAUGUGGCAAGUUUUGAUUAACCUGAAACUAUAACACACUUCUACAUUUUACUUUUACAAGAAAGUGAACUUACCGGUGCCCAUUCCCCAGAGUUGGCAACUGGUCGAUCCCUACCACCGCUUGGGGCAAUCCAAAUUAUUUGUGAUCCACUCCUGUAGCAAAAAACAGUACAUUAAUAUUAAGAUCGAAAUGUCAAUAUAAGGGACAUCUGACCAAUCAACAACUAUUACACACAAAAGAUACUAUCUAAAGGGAACAUUAUCAACUGCUAUUACAUGCUCAUCCCUUUUUUAAGAUUUGGAUUCAAACAUAUCUGUAUUCAGAUUUGUAGAAAACAUGGACUCAAAUCGAUGCAUUGCAGUCUGAAUUGGAAUCAUAGAAGAAAAGCAGUCAUCUAGCUAUAAAUCAGUAUGCAUAUACCUUAAAAGCGUGGCCAUUUCCUUCAGACUUCGUGUAUUUGCUUUUCUUUUCGUCUCUACAAGUGCUGGAUCAUCAAGCAUGUGCUUUUUUGAAUAAACACAGAUCAGAUUCCUACAUAAAUGAAAAAUGUAAUUGAAGAGAUUCAAAGUCAACCUCAUUUAAAUUAGGCAAUAUGCCAGCAUAAAUUUCAAAUUUAAUAAAAAGAAGAAUAAAAUUAACCUGCCAAUACUGAAGGGCUUGCAUAGAGGAUCGGUUAUAACUCUAUCUCCUGCCACAUAAAUCUGUAGAACAAAAGGCAGAAUUCAAUUAGUUCUGCAUUUAUAAAUGUGCAGAACAGACUGUAUAGUCAGAAUAUACACAAGCAAAUUUUACCAAGUUUUCAGCAAUAUGUGGAAGUCGCAUUUCAAGCAGCAAUGCAAUAAUAGCUGGAUCAGCUUCACUUUGGUGGUUUGACAUCAAGAUAAUAUUGUGUCCCUGCAGUAAUUUUUUCAAUCUUUCAAACAUUAACCCCACAUUUAUGAAUAUGUUAACAUAGGGUAAAUAUACACAAGAACCCAUAAAUCAGAAUCAAGGCUGACAUUUCAUGAAAGGCAGUGAAUAUUAUGUCAGUGCUCUCAUUGAUAUAGAUGUGAUAAAUGUAGUACUUAAUGGGGAAAAUUAGAUACAACAACAGCAUCAUCAGCUCAGAAUUUAACAUUGACAAAUUUCAGGCACAUCUGUGACAGGUAGAACCUUACAUUGGUAAAUUUGGUUUUCUAGUAUAAUAGUAACGCAUUAAGUUCAAUUCAUACUUUCAUAAUGAAACUGAUCUGAAGACCAAUGAAAUAUUGAAAACAAUCAAGAGAGUCACGGGAAACAAUUUGUGACAUGAUUUGCAUGGUAGCAUAUUAAAAUAAAUAGCAAGGUUAUUAUGCAUAUUGUCCACCACCUUAAGAAGACUAACUUUUACAUGUCAUAUAGAUAAACUCCAUAUGCUUAUGCAUAUUGCAAACAGAUACCAACCUUAGAAUUUGGUUAUGGUACAUAUAAUAAGGGAGGAAUAUUUUAACUUUCUAUUACUACCUUCACCCUUUCUAGGGGGAAAAAGGUUCUACCAAUAUUUCACAGUAAAAAAAUGAAUAACCGUACAAUGUAAAAGUAAGCAUUUGAAUGAAAAGGGGCAUGUUGCCAACGUUAGAAAUUGGCACCUGCUUAAGUUGCUCUUCCAUUUGUAUGAAAAGGGGCAUGUUGCCAACGUAAGAAGUGCUGCAGAAAAAGUAUUACAUUUAAGAAUAGAUAUGAGGUGCUGUAAGAUGGAACUGGCAUGCAUAUGAACGGGGUAUACAGAUUGCUGGAUGUCAGCAUUAUAAUUUUCAAAGGGGAACUUAAAGCCUACUUUUGAAGGCAUGGUUCCAAAUAUUUAAAUUAAGCAUGAGAACAAAAAUAAAAACACAGUGAUGUGACUUCUAGUUCUAUACAUACAUACAACUAAGAAGGAUCGAGUUAUUUUUUUAAAAAAAAGGGGGAUCAAAUUAACUACAGAUAAAUUCAUAACUAGGGAGCAAAAGCUGAACAAGUGUCAUUUUGUCUGCAUACAUCAUAAAUUCACAAGAGAUCUCCAUUUGAGGGCACAAAGAAAACUGAGGAUGACGCCUGGUAAGAUGUAGUCAAAAUCUGCAAAGGCAUAACCCUAAUGAGAUCAUAGAUUUUGUCGCUUUUAUUGUCAUUUAUAUCCUAUGGUUAGCCAUGAGCAACUUUCAACCAAGCACAAAUGUAAUUGAAUACUGAUGGGCACCCCCAUUGCAGGGUCUAAUGAAUAAACACAUGGUCAUAGGACAGUGGAGAAGUGGGUGAUGGAAGCGGGAAGGGUGGCAAUAUGAUGUAGGGAGUUCGACAAAACAGGAGUAUGGAUCUGUGAAAGAAAUCCGAGGGUCUUAGGCUUUGUUUGGGAGUUUGGAGGGGAGGGCUUUAGAGGGAUGAGAUUAGAGGGAAAAAUAGAUAAGUCUUUCAAAAAAAUUGACUGUGUUUUUCUAGUCAAUGAUAAAAGAAUACUUAUGAUUAAUGUACUUUUGAUUUUGCGAGUAUCAUAACAAUAUAUAUUGAAUUUGGAAAAUUUACCCAAACACCCCAAAACCCUCCUCUAAUACAAUUUUGUAGUUCCCCCAAAUCAGGGGGAUUUUGAAUUAUGAAGAAAACUAAGCCCCUCAAAGCCCUCCCUUCCAAAAGCUCUUCAUUCUUUCCACUUCUUUCUUCCUUUUUUUUCAAGCCCUCCCCUCCCCUCCCCUCCAAACUCCCAAACAGAGCCUUAUGCUGUGAGGCAGGGUAGGAUCUAGCUUCUCCCAUUUAUUAUUUUAUUUUCCAUCUGUGUGCGCGUACAUACUGUAAUUAUAGCAGUUUACCAUAAUUGCUUCUACAAUAUCCACUUGAACACCAAAAUCUACUAUCUAUGUGUCAUACACUAAUGUAUAACAUAUACAUACAAUUGCUUCACCUGCUGCUCUAUUUCUAAAGAAAUUUCCUCCUUAAGCGUAAACAUGAGUUGUCUUAACAUUUAAUCUUGACGCACUGUGGAACUUCUUUAACUACUUAGCAAAAGCACCAGAACGAUUGAAUUGCUUAAUAAACUCUGGGAGGUAGAAUGUCCAGGAUUCAUACAGGAUACAGCAUUUUCACAGGUACAUUGUAUUUGAGCGACACAAGACAGGAUGAAUCAUAAGAACCGUCAAAAUCAAAAUUACAUUGAUAUUCAUUCCCGAUAAACCAUUAGCUUCAACCAACGUGCUAAACAUGAUAAUCCUAUGGGUUAUGGACAACCCAUGCAUGCAUAUCUUAUACUUCCCAUCACAAUCUUAGCUUAUUGCAGUAAAAAAAGUCUACUACUAAUUAGUAAUAUCCAUGCAUGAAAUUUGACUAAUCACAUUUGUAGAAGAUCAACAGCAAAGUCAAAUAAGUAAACUAAACUGAUCAAUGCCAAAGAGAAGAAAGAGGAGAUAAUGUUGCUUGUAACUCACUUGAAAUCAACUAAGGGACGAAUAUAAUUUUGGCCAAACAUGUAGUAGUCAAAAGGCUCUCUCUUUGCUUUAUGGUGUGCUUCAAAGACAAAAGGCUCCUGUUAAAAAUCAGUUCAAUUUUUUAGCAAGGUAUUUCAAAAACUAUAGCAAGAUUAAAUGGCCAAAGAUGCGAGAUGAUGUGAAAAUUUCAAAAAUCGAAGAGUCUGUAUGCAAAGAAACAGUUAGCUUAGCAAAGCAUAUUCUAAUAUUCAAACUGACCUUCACAUCCAAAAAUAUGCGAUCUAAUAAAGCAGUCAUAUUUGACAAUACAAUCUCAUCUGCUUUGGGAUCUCCACUUUUAACAACCUGAAACACGGUUGCAUACAAAAGGAAGUGAAACUAAGUAACUGAUGAAAACAUGAAUUGGUAUUUCAAUUGCAGCUCGGAAAUAAUAUUAAACUACAAAACCAUAGAAAAUAUUGACAAAACUGUUUUUAUUAUCAUAAAGUAUAUAUCUACACCAAGCCAGCCCGGAAAUUAACAAACUAUAUCAACUAUACAAGAACAGAUGACAGAUAUUUUCACAGUUAAAGUAAGCUAUUUUGGGAUUUCAGUUCCACAGUGAAUCAUGAGUAAACUAAUAUCUUUUCCCACAAGAUACUAGAAACUGUUUACUGGUAAAAAAAUACAUUUAACAGUUAACUUCUUUAAUUAAAAGGUUAUAAACAUAGGAUUAACAUAAUAAGACUAUAAACUUACUGCACUUUUAUAGUUAAGGUACAAUUCUUCCAUCCCUUCAGCAAUAGUGGGGGGCAAAGUUCCGGCUUCUACUUCCUUCUUAAUUCCAGAAAGAACAUCUGCAAACAAACAAAUCAAUGUGACAAAAAAUUAACACUAAUAAUACUAAUCAAUCUUCAAUAUUUAAAUAAUCAAACCAGAAACAAAAUUAUAUACAAACAAACCAAAAAUGCCUUCUUGGUCCCAAUUUUAGUUAACAAUAGUCAAACCACAAAAAGAAAAAAGCAGCAACAAAGUUCAAACGAAUUAAAUGUUAUUAUUUAUUUACAUAAAACUAUCAGCGUCAGCAGAAAUAAACUUCAACAACAAUAACUCUAGCAAAAGAAAAUAUAUAUCUAGCAAUGACACUUGAGAUUAAAAUUCUGUCUGAUGUCAUGCCAAACACGACAUCACGCAUCAACUUAUCUGCAACUUAUAGCACAAACGCUUAUUAUUAUAAACAUUAUUUCUAUAACAAAAAAUAAAAUAAAGUAAAAUUGCAAUAAGCUGCUUUUAUAAGCUAUUUUUUGAUAACUUAUGAAAAAAUAAACUAAACACAUCUUAAGAACCACAAGUUCUCCUCCCAAACAGUCUCAGGAAUUUAUACCAAUAGAUAAACUCAAAUAAGUUUCAUAAUUAUAUUCAACUUAUGCCAAUAGAUAAACAGCUCAAAUAAGUGAUUAUACUUAAUCACUUCUAUUUUUCUCAAAAUUAUUAUCUGUUUCUAGUUUCUACAUAUCGGUCAGUAAAACACACAACUAAACUUGAUAAUCAUAAUCAUAAUCAUGUUUCUUUAAUUUUUCAAAUUAAUCAUCGAGACGCGAAUCUUGAAUUAAAGAAAGAAAGAUACCUUGUUCAUUUCUGGCAUUGAGGAAAGUGCGAGAAGAAACAGAAGAAGCCGCCAUAUUAGCAGAAAUUUCUUUAGGUUUUUUAUUAUUAGAAUUGAAAGCAAGAGGAGAACAAUAUGAAGAAGAAGAAGUUCCAGAAGUUGUUACAGAAGAAGAAGAAGUUGUUGCAUUAAAUCGAAGAUGAUAAAAAGUGAAAGAACUACGAAGAGGUAACGAAGAAGAAGAAGAAGAAGAAGAAGAAGAAGAAGAAUAUGAGGCUUUAGGUGGAGAGAAAAAUGCGGUUGAAGGAGAAGAAAAUGGUGUUGUAAACAUUGUUGAAGAUUUCUUCUUUUUGUGACGGUAGUAACAAUUGUGUGACGUAGAAUGUGCGAAAGAAUCGCUCAUCUUCUUCAAUGAAAAAAAAAAGAUUUAGAAUUCAAGACUAGGAUAUGAUUUUUUCGACUGUGUGAAAGGGUGAAUGAGUCUUUUUGCUUUUGUAGUUGGGUCCACUACCACUAUUGGUACCAAUCGUAAUUCGGGCACUGUUGGUUUGACACGUGGGGUUUCUUUAAUGGGGGUUUUGUAUGAACGGAUAAAAUUCGUUCUCAUUUUUUUAAUUAAAAAUAUUAAUAUUCCCGAUUAAUCAUAUUUUUUCUAGAAUAUUUGGUUUUGGUUUAUACACAUAUGGAAACUGUUUUAAUGUGUUAAAUGCACACAUCACUUUUGUGUGGGAUAUGAUGACUCAAAUAUAUUAGAGUUGUAAAUUUCUUCUUAUGGUGUUGUGCGUUUUUAAUUUAAUCUUGCUUGCAUAAUAAGGUUGACAUUUGACUAUAUUGCCACCCUUAUUUUCUAUGAAUUAAAUGGAAAAUAUACAUUUUAUUUGGUCUAAGGAAAGAUUCAUUGAAAGGGUAAGGUUCAAAGUUCAAACGGUAGUACAUAGGCCACCCUGGCAACUUCAUCUACUAUGGUUUGUGUCAAUCUUAAUGCAGCUACUCUAAUCAUAUAUCACAAGGACAUGAACAACAUAAAACUAAAUUAGUCAAUUCAAUAAGGUAAUAAUAAAUUAUAAAAUUUCUGUGAAUCUAACUCAGUUGUCAAGGAUAUUGUAUUAUAUAUGUAUGAUAUGUGUGUGCACGCGUGUGUGUGCACGUUUUAGACAUUAGUAAUGUAGACGUGUUUGUGUCGUUUAUGUUAUCUUUUUUUUUUUUUUUGAAAGAAUGUUAUCCUUGUUGGAGUCUAUCCUUGAUGGAUAAUAAAUAAUAAUCAAAGACCAAAAACAAAGUACAAAGUGGAGGAUCGAUUUUGCCUUGUUUUCACAUCCUAAAGAUUGCAAUUACUUGCAAGAGAGUUAUGUUCCAAAUGUUGAGACUGGGUCUAGAGAUUCAUAUUCAUAUUAUUAUUAUUAUUAUUAUGAUAGUUUGAAACGUGUUUCUAACUCCAUUCUAAGUUCAACUAUUAUGAUGGUCAGUAACAUUCAAUUAGUAGUAUUAAAUAACUUCAGAGUAUCUUAUUGUUAGUGGGUAAAAGAUAUCGAAACCUUGCUGAUUAAUUCAACUCAUUUACAUCUUAAUUUUAUUUAUUCAUUCAUGAUAUAAAAGUAUUUGUCAAACUUUUUAGAGAUGUGGAGUACAUUGAUACAAUUCUUAUUUCACAUUGGUAAGGUUUAAAUCUCAAAAGUAUAACCCUAAAAAAGAAUAAAAGACCUAAAACAAUUAUUAUUUGUACGGCUUUUGGUUAUGUCCUAUAUGAUGAGUUUGUUUUCUUUAUUUUACUUGUUUCUAUUGGGAAAUAAUAAGUUGCUUGAGUUCUUCAAUCAUUUUGGUCAAUAAAGACAUCGAGAAUAUUCACAACUUCGUAUGAACCACGAGGAAAUACACCACAUGUACCUUGUACUUUUGUUUUCACAUUUCAUCACACACGUUGAUCUCAUGGCAUAUACUACAGCCGACAGAGUUUUUUCUACCCCAUAUUGGAUCCCUUUGUUUCAUAUCAGAAAAAUUCAAGCUCGGAAAAAUUCAAGCAGUCUUAGAUUACUAAGUACACGUUUAAAUUCACUCUGGGCUGUUCCAAAAGUAUUUCUAAAUGUUUAAAAUUGAUUUUGAUAUGUUUAAAAGUUCUCAAUUAAAAUUAAUUUUGCCUAUUUGGGAACUAAACUUCGUAGCUUUUGCUUCCAAAUGUGACUUUUGCCACCAUUGAAUCAAAAACACACUUCGUGCCUAUUUGUAUUGGCGGUGAAUUUGGCAGAUUUACAUUUGUCACUGUAAUUUUGACAAUCUCGUCACUCUAAUUUCGCUAAAUCCACGAUUGAUCCAAACGUAAAUUUUACUUUUUCAGAGUUUUUGGAGUAGUACUCAGGCUUAGAUAUCCAUGUGAACACCUUCUGAAAUUCAUCAUUAAAACGGUAGUUUAAAUUUAAAAGAUAGCAGAAUAUAUAGUAUCUAUAUGUUCAAAAUGAAGUCCCCAAAAAUGGAAGAGGUAAGGGAAUCAACAUGAAACUACAAUAACAUGAGAAAACCCAGGUAUAUAAUACAUUAUAUCCGACGGUUCUCUUGGAAACAACAAAAACACAUGAAACAAAUUUAACCAAGGAAGUUCAUGAUCACCAAGUGAAGCACCACAUUGCAGAGAACAAAAUCAGCAAAAGCACGCUCCGGCGCAAGAUCCUGCACAAGGAUGGAGGACCAAAUUAUCAGUAUGAAUAUAUCUAGUGGAGAAAAUAAUAUGCAGACAACAUUUUACUGCUUCAUUUCCUUUCCUUUUUACUUUGUUUUGUCAAAUUAAACAAUGAUUGCCUGGAAUUUGGCUCGUAACAUCAAAACAAAAUUCAAAAUAAACAAGAAAACAAUGUUUACCUUGAAUUCCUUGUUCUCUUUAUUGACUUGGAUUCGGAGACAAACUGAUUCAAAAUAAACGAUGAUAACAAAGAUAAGUACGAUGAAAACUGAAACCCCGUUCAAAUACAUGUGUUUCAACUUGCAAGUAGGUUUAGAAAUCUCUGUAUAUUGGAGUACAAAUGUGCUUAACAUUAACAUGUAGCUUUCAAAUUGCAAUAGACUAUUGACACUUACCAGCCAAAACUGCAGUCCCUACGCAAGAGAGUACUCCAGAAAGGAAGGAGUUAAAUGGAAAUGUUCCCACCAGAGCCAUGUAAACUACCUGUUCAUUACGAAAAAAGAAUGUAAGUGUUAACAAGGGCAUGUAAUGUUAGCAUUAACCUAAUUACUGACUUCAAACCUUCAUAAAAAAUAACUUCUUUUGUGCAAUUUUUUUAAAACCAUUAAAAGUAAGAACUCAUUAAACGAGAAACUGGAAGAGUAUCUAGUAAAGCAAGAUUGCAUAUUUCUUGUUUUACUAAUUUAGAAGCUUAGAACUUCUUUUUUAUUGAAGUUACAUAGGUGAUUGUUCUACAAAUUUCUACAUAAAUACUUUGUUGUUUCUGCAUAAAUUUCUUGUUUUACCUAUCUUCGCAUAAUCCAUAUUUUGUAAUAGUUCAUGAUUCUAUAAAGAAAACAGAAUUCAUAUAAAUCCUUUUGUAGUUAAUCUUUUUUUUCAGAGAGAAAUUUUAAAAGACAAACCUAAACGCCGUGGCAAAGUGUUUGAGGAGAAACAAGUUUUAAAACCAUGUUUAAGACAUAAAUCAGAGGAAUAGAAAAAAUUCCCGCCCUAUCUACUAGGUGUCAAACAGGUAAGGAGAAUGUAAAAACUCAUAUUCACAUAAGUGCAUUUAGUUCACGUUUAAAUCAGACAUAAAUUCAUUUAAGUGCCAAUUUGGACAUUAAAUGCAAUUGACUGAACUCUAAAAACAUUGUUAGUCAUAUCUUACACAUAUAUGCUUUGUUAGUAGGCAUGGCAAUGGGGCGGGGUGGGAACGGGUUUUGCCUUCCCCAUCCCUAUCCCCUACUCCCAUAUAUUUACCCGUUACCCUACCCAUAUCCAAAGGGGAUGAAAAAUUGAAUCUCAUCCCCUCCCCAUCCCCAAUGGGUUCGGGUAUACCCGCCUCAUCCCCGUCCCCGCACUGAAUCAAUUUUUUUUAAUUAAAAAAAGGUUCAGUUUGUUUAAUUGUAUUUUGGAGGUAACAUUACAUAGAGUUAGUAAUCUAAGAGAUGACAGUGUCUCAUGAUCUGGAUCGAAUGAGGGGAAAUCAGAAAAACCUUAGUAAUCUAACAUAUAAAUCUAGAUCAAUCAAAAUUGAGGGAAGAACCUGAAGGAGAGCGGAGAAAACAGCGAAGGCAACAUAGAGAUCGAUGAUCUGAAAUAAUUGAGAGAGGAAAUGAAUAACGAAUUAUGAAGAAAUGAAAAGGGAAAGAGAGAAAUGGAAGCAACCAACCUUGAGAUUUGAAGGUGUAGCGGAAUAUGCAGACCAAAGAGCGCGUAAUAAGUCUUGUGCAUCCUUUGUGGUUGAUGAAGAAGAAGAUGAAGCAGACGACGGCUUUGCCAUUUUCUAUUCACUUCACUCUCUCUCUCUCUCUCUCUCUCUCCUCUAACUCUAAUUUGAAGCUCAAGUCGUCGUCGUCACUCUUCAUUUUUCUCCUUUUUGUUAGAUUUUUUAUUUUUUGCAUCAGGCCGGUUCUUAUCGAUUUAAGCGGUUUUUUUACCGGUUCAUUUGCACACCCAAUCCAAUACAGUGAGAUUCAAUAUUUUUGGUAGUGGUCAAAGUUUGAAAUUCAGACAUUGUCUAUUUUAUGCAUUGUUCUAACGAACUGAGGUAAGCUCCAUAGUGAGAUUCAAUGACUUAAAGAGAAAUUUGUGUUGCAUAUUUUAUAUUAUUUUCUCUCUUUCAUUCUAUUUAUUAUUUAUCUUUCCUAUUUUUUAUAAAACACACAAAAUUGCACUAAAGUCAUCGGAUUUUUCCACUUUAAAGUCACUGAAUCUCAAUUCCAAUAUAGUGAUCGAAUUGGUCAAAGCAACAAUGCAAGUGAUCGAGAGAGAUACUGCAUUUUCAUCCAAUAUCUUAAGGCUGAGUCAUCUCACUUAUAAAUUGUUUAACCUUCAUUUUUUUUUAAACAAUGUUAGAACUCUAAGUCUCCAACCCACAUUUGUCACAUAACAAAUACUCCCUUCGUACCUUUUUACAAGACUACUUUAUAAAAAAGUUUUGUCGUUAAAUAUAAGAUUAUCUAUAAAUUUUUAGAUGCAUUAUUACUUUUUUUUUCUUUCAAAUACACCCUCGUUAAUAUUAUCAAUAUACUUUGAAAUAUGAAAAGUUAACAUUAAGUAUGUUAUGGACAAAGAAUAGUUUGAUACUAAUAGUAACAUACAUUUAUGACAAGUUCAUAAUAUUAUCACAUACUAGAGACCAUGUUCUUCUAUCAUAUCAAACCUUGUAUUUUAAUUGGUUUGUUGGAUUUUUUUGGAAAAAAAAUAUUUUCAUAAUAUGUUUUGACGACAAUAUUCGUCGGGUGGUUGGUGAUUGAAGAAACACUUUAUUUUGGCAUGACAAUUGGGUAGGGGACAUCCCCUUACGGUAUAAAUUUCCUCGCCUUUUUGAUUUGGCUGUCAGGAAGGAGUGUUCGGUGGAGGAGAUGUCGAGGGUAGGUUGGAGGUAGGGGUGGGAGUGACGUCGUAGGUUACUGGCUUGGGAGGAGGAGAGUGUGAGGGAGUGUUCAACGUUACUUCUUAACAUUGUUUUGCAAGAAAACGCUCAUGAUACUUGGAGAUGGUUAUUACAUCCUUCUCAUGGUUACACAGUACGGGAGUCAUAUCGUUUUCUCACAAACAAUGGUAACCUGGUGGGCAGGUCGUUGGUAGAUGAUGUGUGGCAUAAGUCUAUCCCUUCGAAGGUAUCUUUGUUCGCGUGGCGCCUUCUCUGGAACAAAUUGUCUACUAGAGAUAAUUUGGUUCAGCGACGAGCUUUGCUUAUAUCUCACGCUGUUUGCGUGUCUGGCUGCGGUCAAACAGAAACUGCGGUCCAUUUAUUCUUUGGUUGUAAUACGUUCAACGUACUUUGGUCGCAUGUGUUACAAUGGUUGGGUCUCUCUGUGGUGCUUCCAGGUGUCAGUCGUCAACAUUUGCUUCAAUUUACUAAUAUGGGUUUACCUAAGGUCACUUACUCUUUCUUGAAAAUAAUUUGGUUUGUUACUGUGUGGGUUAUUUGGAAGGAAAGAAAUAGUCGCGUGUUCCAAAACGUGGCUUGUGAUUCUUCCUCUUUGGCCGAAAUAAUUAAACUUAAUUUUUUUUUUUUGUGGCUGAAAGUAUCUCAGACAUCUUUCAGAUAUAAUUAUAAUGAUUGGUGGAAAAAUCCACUUCCUUGCAUGGGUGUAAUUCCCUAUACUUUUUGGUGAUCCUUUCUCAAGAUUGGCACCAUUAAUUCGUGUACCUGCAAGUUAGUUUACCUUUUGCAUGUCUUAUGCUCGAUAAAUUAACCUUAUUUAUAAUAUAUACAUCUUAGUUUGUUGAAAAAAAAAAGUUUUGAAACACUAACAACAUACAUAUAUUUAUACACUACAGUUCAAAAAUAUUUAUAUUUUCAUGAGUGAAAAUUAUCAUGUGUUUGAUGCGUGUUUAUUCUCCACUUCUAAUAUAUUUAUAAAUUUUAAAACAAACAAUAAUAUAUAAACACAAAAUCGCAUAUUAGUUAUUAAAAUAUGAAUUAAUUUAAUAAAUAAUCCUUAUAAAAUCAAGAAUUUCGAUUUUAAUCCAUAAAAAAAUAGCAGCUUUUAGUCCCAUUAACAUUUUUAUCACUAAAAUGUUAAAAAGACCAUGUUUUUAGAGGGAUGAUCAUUUAUUAAUUAAUAUGAAAUUAUGAUACAUAGGACCAUUUAUGUAUUUUUAUUUUUUGAAGGACAAUAAGACCAUUUAGUUAACUAACCUUAAAAAUUUUGUCAAUUUUUUUUGUCAGAUAGUUUAGUGGCUAAAAUUCACCUUAUAAGAUAAAUAAAUGAGGUGUCUGGAAUUCGAACCCAGCCGCUACAUAUAAUAAUACAUUGUCCAGCCAACCGAGCUUAUAGGACAUUGUCAAAAAAAAAUUUAAUUAACCUUUAAAAUAUCACAAAAAAUAAAAUAAAAUAAAUAAAAGAAAAUUUCACGUGGUGGAUGUUUCAAACCGUCACUGUUUCCCCUGGUGGAUGUUUCUUCUUCUUUCUCAAAAUCGAAAAUUCUGUAUAUAACCGCUUAAUCAUCUUCACAAGGUAAGUGCUUAAGCUCAGCUCAACAAAAUGGCGUCGUUUUUGACUCUCCCUGCUGUUUCUCCUCGUCUCAUUCCCACCGUUUUAUCUCUCAAACGACCCUUCACUCACACUCCACCUACCUUGCAUUUCAAAAAUCACAGGUUUGUAUUCUCAACUCCUUCUAUCAAAAGUUCACAACUUUUUUCAUUUCUCAAUUCUGGGUUUCAUUUAUUUUUUAAAAUUUUCUCUUAGUUUUCAUGUUUUCUACUAUUUUUCUACUGUUUAGAACAUGUUACCAUGAAAUUUGUAUUACUGAGGUUGUUAAUUUGUUUUCUGAUGAUUGGUUAUUGUUCAUAAUUAUCAAUUUUAGUUUUAGUGAGUGAUGGAUUGUUGCAAGAUAAUUUAUUUGAUUAAUUUUUCAUUUUUUGGAUUUGGUUAGUGAAAUAGUUUAAGUUGUUGUGUUUCAUUAUUGUUUGAUUAAUGUUUAAGCUAAUCAUUAUUAUACAUUAAAAAUUAAAAUUCUACUUUUCCAUUAUGGUUGUUUUAUGUUAAUUAAUCUGUAAACAGCAAAUGAAUGUGUUAUAAUUUGUUUCGUUAAGUUCUUCCAAACAUUCUCAUAAGUGUCCUCUUUGCAACGUGGGUCAUCUAAUCAUCUAUGUCGUGUGAUGUGUCUUCUAAUGGUUUGUGUAUAUUUUCCUGCAGAUUUGCAGUUAGCUGCAGUUAUGCAGGAGGAGGUGUUGGUAGUUUUGAAUCGUCGACAUCAACUAUAGAUGUUGUGGCUGAUGUUAAAAGCGAAAAGGUAUCCGCAGUUCUGUACACUUCCCAUUUUUUCGAUAAUUUUGAUACUUUUCAUUUUUUGGCAUUUUUCGUAAACACAUUAUUGCUUAAAUCUGUCCCUUUGUAGUGUCAGUAAUCCGUGGAUCAUGGGGAGAAUGAUCAUACAAAUGAUAAUGAUAAAGAGGAUACUGAUACACAUGCGGCUGGAUGUUGAAAAACAAACUGAAUUAAUUUAUAGGAUUAUGUAAAAUGAAUACAUCAAGCUCAUUAUAUAAAGCUUAGAAGAAAAUUAACAAACUAACUAAAAUCCUAACUAACUAACUAAAUUGUAACACAAUUUCUGUAUUUCUAAUAUGUAGAUUGUUGUCUUGGGAGGCAAUGGGUUUGUUGGUUCUGCUAUAUGCAAGGCAGCAGUAUCCAAGGGCAUAGAAGUCAUUAGCUUGAACAGGUUUGAGACACAUCAACCUAAUUCACUACAUAUCCCCGUCUAUUCGUCUCUUCCACGCUUCUUUAGUUUUUGUGUAUUCACCUGAGAUUUUGUUUAACAGGUCAGGACGUCCUACUUACUCAGAUUCAUGGAUAGAUCAGGUUACUUGGAUUUCAGGCAUGUUAACUUAACCUAAUAUACUAAACAUCUCUAGGUCUAUGGUGCACAAAUAAGAUAGUGUUGCCGAGUUAAAAAAAGUUUGAUAAUAUUGUACCAUGCCCAAGUUUGUUUUCCACUAUUGGAUCAUUAAAUCCCAUCGUAUCUCACUUGAUCCAAUGGUGUAACUCAUUGAUGUAAUGGUGGAAACAAAUUUAUGUGUGGUACAACAUUUAUCUCACUUGUACAUCAUAGAACUAGCCACUAAACAUGUACAUGUUUUUUUUCCUUUUCUUUCUUGUAAUUGGUUAAGGGCAUUAGAAACACCUGCAACUUUGUGUGGAACUACAUGUUAGAUGGGGAAGAGCCAAUAAAAAAGUAAAAUAGGUGUUGUACAGACUAGUGGUCACACAAGACAAUAUAGGAAUAAGAAUAUAAUUAUUAAAGAAAAAUUUUGUGGUGGCUCCUAUUGUAGAAAAGAGUAGAACCUUGUUUAAGGGUGUUUAAACAUGUGUGGAAAAGACUCAUAGGACUACCGAUAAGAAGGUUUGACUGGAUGAUGGAUAGUGCAAUCUUCAAAUGUAGAGGGCUAUGAAGCACGGAUACAAAACAAACAUGAGACUAACACCUCGACACCAGUAAUAAUUUGAGACAAUGAAAUUAUUGAAUGUAACCACAUAUUUCAGUGUCUUUUUGGUGUUGGACACCGCACACGUCUUCCAUCUGAAGUGUUGGUACUACAUAGGUAGAGGGAGACAAAAAAUCUACGGGCCAAACCAUUAAGAAAAUUUGAGUUAAAUGAUCAAUCUUUGAGCUUAAUACAUACAGGGAAUAAAGACAUUGUCUGACCCACAUAGGGUGUGAUACAGCUUGGUUACUGCUGUAUCUUAUGGUCAAGAUAUACAGACCAAGUACGGUCUUAUAAAUAAGGUCCCAUUGUUCUCUCUAACCAGAUAUUCUAGCUGAUUUGUGAGCGUAUAAACAUCAUAACAAUAUCGGCAAAUUAUAAGAUAGAUAAAUAUAAUUGGUUCUGGGCUUCUGGAAUCUAAGUUAUCAUUUAUGUGAUCUCACUAUCUUUUUUCUGGAGAGUAUUUCAUUGUUGUGCCUAAUAUGCAGGAGAUGUUUUUUAUGUAAACUGGGACGAAGUACUUCCUGGAGCUACUGCAGUAGUCUCAACCCUUGGAGGUUUUGGUAGCGAGGAACAAAUGAGUAAGAUUAACGGCGAGGCUAAUGUUGUGGCUGUAAAUGCUGCAAACGAAUACGGUGAGCCAUCUCAUUGAGCAUUAUUUUGCAGUUAAAUUAUUCACUUGCAAUUAUCUUUUACCUUUCAUGUUUGACUAUAUUAUUGUAGCCCUAAACUUUCAUGCAUACCCUUCCAUAAAACAAGACUUAAGAUUUUGAAAGUGUUGUUAUCUGCUGUUUACAAGGCAAGUUCAUUCUAAUUUCCAUCAACUGUCAUAUUAUAUAUAAGCAGGUAUAGCUUGAUUUGAAGUUGAAAUGCAUAGAAUUGUGUGAUAGUAUCAUUAGAUCAAGUUGAAUGUUUACAGAUAUGGAGAUGGAUAAGUGAAAUAAAUUAUACAUAACCACUUAUAUGAUAAGCACUUAAGCUAGAAUCACUUAAUUAAGUUGUUUAUCCAAACAUAGCCUUAGCAGUUAGCACCUCAAAUGAUUCUUUACAUUUUUGUUGGCUGGUUUGUGUAUAUACACACAAAAAUGGUUUGAUGCUUAUGGUUAUGUGAAGUACGUUAUUUUUGGGAUAUUCUUUUGCGAUGAUGCUUUAAAUUUUUUUAUGGAAUCGGAGAUUAAUAACCAGAUAUGCUAUUCACGUCUCACGCAGCUGUUCUUUUGCCUUGCAGGAAUUCCCAAAUUCAUAUUGAUCUCAGUUCAUGACUAUAAUUUACCAUCGUUUUUACUUUCUUCGGGGUACUUCACAGGAAAGAGAAAAGCAGAAUCUGAGGUUCUAUCCAAAUUCCCUAGUUCAGGUCACUAUUCUAUGCCUUUCAUGAACUUGAAUCUAAAUUGGUUUUCGAGUCUGAUAAACAAAGACCUGGGGUUCUAAACUCAAGUACUCUAAACUCCAAAUACCACUGUUCUGAAAGUGAGUCAAUUGCUGAAAUGAUUAUUUUUAGACUAGUAGAGCUAAAGCUGUAUGAGGAUCCAGGAACAGGAUUUGUGGAAGAUGAAUAUCAUGCUUUUAGGGCCUGUUUGCAUUAACUUAUUUGAGACUAUCUACUGGUAUGAGCAUUUGUGAGAUUAUUUGAGAGAGCUUAUGGAAAAAACUUAUGACAUGAACAUUAGUUGUUUUCAGCUUACUUCCAUAAGCUCUCCAAGAUAGCUUAUGAAAACAAUUUGACUCUAUUUUAUCUUUUGUUAUACAAAUAGCAUUAACUUAUAAAGAAAGCACUUAUAUGAUAUUGAUAAGUGCCUAUGCAAUAAACGCUUAAUUAAGCUUUUAUCCAAACAGAGCAUUGAAGGAUAUAAAGCUAAUACAGUUUAUAUUAUGCUUUUUUAAUUGACUUUCAUUCUCGACAAUUCACUGAAAAAUCCCAACAUCUUCAGGUAUUGUCUUAAGACCAGGCUUCAUAUAUGGGAAAAGGAGAGUGGAUGGUUUUGAGAUUCCCUUGGAUUUAGUAGGGGAGCCAGCUGAAAGAAUUCUAAAAUCAGUAGAGAACUUCACAAAACCAUUAAGCGCGCUACCUGCUUCUGAUCUACUUUUGGCUCCACCUGUUAGUGUUGAUGAUGUUGCAUUGGCGGUUAUCAAUGGUGUUACAGAUGAUGACUUCUUUGGUGUUUUUACAAUUGAUCAGAUCAAGGAAGCUGCUGAUAAGGUAAGGGUAUAAUCCACGUACAUGUCUGGUGUCAUACUAGGUAAAGUAGACCAAAGUCUGCAAUUGCAAAUAGUACAAAGGGAGUGAAAAAUAUGAGGUUAUUUUUUUCCUUGUUGAAUCUUUAGUUUAUUACUCAGCAGUAUUUGAAGUUCCUCUUAUCUUAGGGGAACAAUGACUGCGAGGGGGAAAUUAUGUUAAAAUAUAUUAAAUUAAAUAACCGAUGUCUAUAUCUUUUUUCUGCCAUACAAGUGUUAUUAGUUAAUAUUGUUUAUGAUUAUGGUUAUUAAAGGCCAAUUCUUGAUUUGUGAAUACAAGCUAUACUGUAACCAAUAUUUGACUUGCAUGCUGCAUGUGAUCUACACAAGGAGUUGAUAGGAGUACCUGGUAUAAUGCACUAUCAAUAGUCUAAAAGCAAAAACAAAAAGUUUAGCAUUCUGUCGAAGAAAAAGCCAAAAGUUUAGCAUAUUCCGUGUAGCCAAAAAGAGAGGCGCACACUAUGUGGCUCUUUUCGAUAUUAGCUCGCCAUAUAUUUCAGUCUGAAGCACGACAACACUGACACAGUCACACGGACACGUCAAAACUGGUAAACAAGUUUAAAGAUAAAUUAAUUGAACGUAAUCAGAUUUGUAGGUGUUGUUUCGAACGGGUAUUGACAUGUGUUAGACAACAGAUACAUCUUCAUCAAAAGUAUCAGUGCUAUGUACUGAGAUGAUUAUAUGUAGAUGAUUAUGAGCUAUGACUACCAAUAAGAUGUAGAUGAUUAUGAGCUAUGACUACCAAUAAGAAUAACCAGUAAAUAAUGCGGUUAAAAUAUAUAAAUGCGCCACACAAUCCAAUCCAGUUGAAAUUUAUUGGAAUGCAUAAGAAUUUAGUACUAAGAAUUUAAAACAGAAACUUGUUAUUAAGCUGGGACCUCACUCUAGUCUAUUCUCACCCUUAAUUUGACUUGCCCAGUCACACACUAAUUCACUCUCUUCCUUUUUUGGAGCCUGUUCUGGUUAGUAAGAUUAGUAAACUUGGUUAGGAGGUUAGUUAGACCAAUUAGUUCAAUAAAUAUGAACACUGAUUGUAUCAUUUCACUACCUUUUAAUCAAUCAAUAUGUUUUCAGAGCAAAAAAUAUCAUAGGGUCGGAGUAAUGAAAAGUAUAUGAUACUACUCGAAAAGUAUAUGAUACUGGAGAGACGAAUUAUUUGAAAAUUUUCAACAAAAAGAUAAAUUCCGUUUAAAGAGCAGCGGGAUGAAACGACGCUAAUACUAAGUUUAAGAAAUUCGUCUCUGCAGUAGUACCCCUAGAGGAUACCCAAUUUUUUUCGAAAACUUAAUCUAGUAUGCUAGUAUCACACACAUGUUGACUGCACUAAAUAGCAGACUUGUGAACUUCAGAAGUCACUUUCAUGAAAUUGAAUAACUCUUUUCGUAAGUUAACAUUCUUUUUCAACCAAACAAUGUUAAUGAUUUUUUCUUUAUCUAUACUAGAACAAAUUUGAUAACAUUGGUGCAGUCUCCCAUUUAGAGGCAACCAAGAUCGAGAGUUUGCUUGUGCAUAAUAAUCCUUGGAAGGAAAAGAAAACUAACCACAAGGUGAAAAAACUAAGAUGAGGAUACCAUAGGUAUAUUAUUGAAGAGGGUGAAAGCAAGUGAAAACAAACCACCAUCAACAUUAAAAAAGUUGUUGACAGGAAUGAGCUAAGCUAUAAAAAAAAUGGACAAAACUCAUGUGAUUCUUCACAUAAAAUCCACAUUUUAUGGUUAUAACAAACUUCAAAAAUAUUAUGGAUUGAAAAAUCAUUGGUGGUUAUGAGUAUUUUAUGUGCUCUCAUAACCAUUUCACAAAUUUUACCAUCUUCAUAAGGAAUCAACAUUUUAUGACACUUCUUCGCGGUAUAAUCAUUUCAAGGUUUACGAGUAAUCGAUGUGCACGAAUAUAAAUCCUGUUAAUUAAAACACGGACAACACAAACACAUAACAUUCGGAUCCAAAAUUUGGUGUGCAGACAUCGAAUAAUCUAGACCAUCAAAACACCAAAAUUUGAAGCAGUUGCUGCAUAUUGGUGAUUCCAACCAUCAUAUUGAUUAAGUUAUGUCCAAAAUCUUCAACCUUUUUUCCUCAAGUUCAUAGUACUAAGCAAUUAGUAGCUGAUUAUAAUCAUCAAAACCUUGUUCAUAGGAAUACCCAUUAUGUGCAUUUUGAAUUUCUUGAUCAUUUUGAAUCAGUAUUGGGAAUACUAAUUUUCUCUUCAGGAACCCUAUUAUAAAGCAAUUAGAUUUAUGAAAAUUAUGCGGAAAAACAAAGAGCAGCACGAUUAAAGGAAUGAACAGAAAAAAAGUGAGAUUGUGAAGAAAAUGGAAGAUGCCUUGUAAGAAGAGAUGGUGUUGUCGAAGGUGUUGAUGAGAUACAUCUUCUUCUUUCCCAUUUUUGCAACCUCAACAGAGCAUAGACCUAAACUAGUGUUGAUUCCUUGGAAGAAGGACUAGAAGGAAUGGAAGUGAAGACCACGGAUGACAAAAAAAUUUGCACUCGUGAUAUCUGCAGAUAAAAUCCGUCAUGGCACAAGAUGGAUACCAUAAUAGAUAUUACAAAAUAAACGAUUUUUUAUUUUUUUAAAAUGUUAUCCAUGAAUAUUGAACAAAAUGGGAUGAAUCGAACCGUAGAAUGACCACGGACGACAUGAUCAAACCCGCUACCAUAUGGUUAUCAUGGCCUCUAAUGAAGAUUUAGUCGGACGGGAGUCGAAAACGUGAUCAUGGAGAUUCAGUCGAAAAGAGUAUGUGAUCGUAUGCUAUUAAUCAAGAACAAAUAACAACAAAUUGUAUUUUUGAAAACAAUUUAUUAUUUAUUUAGUAUAAAUAAAAUUAUACCACACUAACCAGAACAUUACGCUCUAUGUUAUGCUCAAUAAUAUUUGUUAUGCUCAAUAAUAUUUGUUGACAUUGGGUUUUGCAAUAGAAAUAGGUCUCAAUAAUCCACUAAGGGUUGAAAACUCCGAUCGGGUGAAGAAAUUGGCCGCCGUCGCCGACGUCCAACAUAACUCGGGUGAAGCUAGAGUUAAUGGCGGUAAAGGAAGAGUGGACGAUGAUUACGUUGAGUUAAUGGUGACGGGAUCCACGACGGUGACUCUGACCGAUUAAAAUGAUAGACAACGACCGAUAAGAUGAUUUAACAUUUUCCUCCUUUGUUUUCUCUCUCUCUCUCGAUAACACCUUCGUCUUCCUUUCUUUCAUUUAAGUGUAGUUCUUUAUGUUAUAAAAUAUCAAUAUUGUGUCAUUUUUUUAUGGGAUUUUUCAAUGAAAUAUGAGUUUCUAUGUUUAUACGAUGAAAAUUGAGUUUGUUUAUGAAUUGGACGAUUUUUUUAUAAGUGGUUUUUAUGAUUUUUUUAUUUUGUCUUAAUAAAAAAAAGAUAACUAUGUUGACAUUUUAUAAUAUAAAUGAUUAAAUCAGAAGAAAAAAAAUGAUUUGAUUAUUACAUAAAAGAUUAAAUCAGGAGAAAAAAUAGAGGAUGAAAGUGUUAGUUAAGUUAAGAGAUAAAUUGUGUAAUUUUUUUUAUGUCAAAAAAGAAAUCAAUGCUUUUUUUUUUUUUUUUUUUUUCUCAGUAAAACUCAAGAAAUAUAAUAGUUUUUUCGUUUUGUUCAAGAACGAUUUUAGUAUUUUUGUACUUUAAUCAAAAUAUACAAAAUUAUGAGUUUAAAAUCAGUAGGAACGUUCUUUAAAAAAAAAAAAAUCAGCAGGAACGUGAACAAGGAUAAAGUUUUGAGGCAAAAAAAAUAAUUAAGCUUUUUUUUUUCUAGGCAAAAAAUAGUUAAACUUGAUUUAUUAUUAGUGUAUUUUUCGUGUGUUAUCCGGGUUUUAUACAUAAUAUUAAUGUGUGUUUUAUGUAUAAUAUUAUUUUUUCCCUAAAAGAAAAUGUAUAAUAUUUAUUUCCCCAUAAAAAAGUAUAAUGUUUAUUAAAAAUCCAUAUAACUCAGGAGUUAUACAAAAAGAUUACUCAUAUUAUCACCUGUAUUUUAUUGAAUAAAAUAUCAAUAAUUGCCUAAAUUAUAAAAUAAAUAAAUUCUAGUUUUUUUCAACGAAAAAUAAAUCGUAGUUAUCUAAAUUGAAAACAUUAUCAAUAAUAUUAGUGUUUGUGUUAUAUGUAUAAUAUUAUUUUUUUGACAAAAUAUGUAUAAUAUUUAUUGAAAAUCUAUAUAAUUUAACAGUAAUAAAAGAAAAAGAUUGUUUAUAUUAUAACAUGUAAAAAAAAAAUUGACAGGAAUAACACUUAAUUUUAUAGCGAUGAUAUAACCCGUAAUUUUAUAAAUAAAUUGUUAAAAUACCUAAAAUAUGUAUAUAAAUGGGGUCUCACAAAUAGACAGUAAGAUUGGACCCCUCAAAUUAAUUGCUCAUUGAACCAGAUAUCAAGCUUAAAAAAAAACUACUUAAAAUAUAGAGUAAGUUACCCUCCCAUCUCCCAUCUCCUAAGAGAUCCUUAAAUUACACUACUCUACCCUUUUAUGUCAAGAUAUGUAUUUCCCAUCCCUCUUCCCUCUUAUGUCAAAAUAUACACUUCACUUCCAUCUUAAGGGAGAGAAUUAUAAUCCAGACAUCUCUUGGGGGAGGGGAGUAUAAUUUAUUUUAGGUUUUUACUUUCAAAAUAAGGGAGUGUAUAUUAUUACAUAAGACGGGAGAAAAGUGUAAUUUACUCUAAAAAAUAAAAUAAAUAAAUCUUAGUUAUCUAAGCUGAAAAAUUAUCAAGAGUGCGUGUUUGGAUGAAAAUAAUGAACACAUGUAGGCAAACAAAAUUAUUUCCUUUAUAAAUAUAUGAAAUUGAUUAAAAUAAAUAAUUUAAUCAAAUAAUCAUCUAAAAUUUUCUCUACCAAUUUAAUAAUUAAAAAAUGAAUGAAUUGUCUAUUAAAUUUGAUAAGAUCUAUGCUAAAUGAAAUAUAUUUUAAAAGGAAAUUUAAUGAAGGAUAAAAUUGAGAAACAAAUAAAUAGUUUAAAAUAAUAAUAAAACUCAUGUGAAUUUCUUUAUGUAUUUUUCAUAGGGUAGUGAUACAUAAAUCACCUUAGGUGGCAUAUACCACUUGUACAUCCACAUAUAAUUGUGACAUGUGUCCAUGUGGUCCCUACACGCACAAGAAACUCAUCUUUUGUGUCUCUCAAACACUAUCACAUGGAAGUGGUACAAUGUGUGUAUAGAGAAAAGGGUGUUCAUGAAACAUUAUCCUUUUUCAUAUGAUUCAUAGCUAAAAAUACACAUGAGUAGUUUAUUUAGGAACCAUAUGAAAAGCAUCUAAGAAAAUGUACCUAAGUGAUUUUAAUUGUGUGAAUAAACCAUACAAAAAGCUUUCUUAAAUGUUUUUCAUGUGGUACUUCACAUAAAAUACUCACAACUACCUAUGAUUUCUCAAAUUCACAAAUUUUUCAAAGUUCGUUAUAAGUUAUAACCACAAAAAUUGAAUUUUAAUUGUGUGUAAAACCAUUUGAAAAGAAUGUAAUCAAGUUAUUUUGUAGUUUUUUUUAAUAAGUUAAAAUGGAUUAUAAAGAACAGUAAACAUCUGAGUUCUCUAACACAAGAUGUGCUGAGAGAAAACCAGAGAGAAAAAGUAUUAAGUUACAUCAAAAGUCGAAAAGAAAAAAAAACAAGAAACUAGAACAAGGAGCAAAAACAAAAGAGAGUUCUAACAUGAUGCCCAAACAAACUAAAGAGUUAAGCCAUUAAAAAUGAUAGGAGGUUAGUUAGAUCAACUAGUUCUAUAAAUAUGAAUACUAAUUGUAUGAUUUCAAUAUCUUUUAAUCAAUCAAUAUGUUUUUGGAGCAAAUAAAUCAUAGGGUCGAAGUAAUGAAAAGUAUAUGAUAUUGGAGAGACGAAUUAUUUGAAAAUUUUCAACAAAAAAUAAAUUCAGAUUAUUUUAUCAAAGAACAGUUGGAUGAAAAGACACUAAUACUAGUUCAAAAUAUAAAUUAAGUACUUUAAAUUAAUGGAAACAUACGUAGAAGUAAUGAUAUCUCUGCAAACAAUUUAUAAUGAUAAUUAAGACGUGCAAUUUGUGUAGAGAUGUUUAUACUAUAUGAAACAUUGAUUUUUUAAUUAAAAUAUUGUUAAUGUGUUAGUAUAGUACAUGUCCAUAAUAAACAAUUAAAUAAUAUUUAAAAAAAAAUAAAAACUAAACUUAUCGAAUCAAAUUAUUUUGUAGUUUUUUUAAUAAAAAAUGGAUUAUAUUGAACUUUAAACACAUGAGUUAUUUAUCAUAAGAUGUGCCAAGAGAAAAUCAGGAAAGAAAGUAUUAAGUUACAUCAAAUUAUGUUCGAAAAAACAAGAAGCUAAAAUAAGGAGCAAAAGCAAAGAGAGUUACAACAUAAACUCCAAAGAAGCGAAAGAGUUAAGCCAUCAAGAAUGAUAGGAGGUUAGUUAGACCAAUUAAAAGAUUAUGAAACUAAUUGUAUCAUUUCACUAUCAAUCAAUAUGUUUUCUAUGCAAAAAAGACCAUAGGGUCGGAGUAAUGAAAAGUAUAUGAUACUACUUGAAAAAUAUAUGAUAUUGGAGGGACGGAUUAUUUGAAAAUUUUCAACAAAAAGAUAAAUUCCGUUUAAUUAAUUGUAGAGCAUUUGGAUGAAACGACAGUGAUACUAAGUUCAAGAAAUUCGUCUAGUAUCACACAAAUAGAAUAACUUAAUCUAGUAUGCUAGUAUCACACACAUGUUGACUGCACUAAAUAGUAGACUUGUGAACUUCAGAAGUCACUUUCAUGAAAUUGAAUAACUCUUUUCGUUGGUUAAAUGAACUCUUUUCGUAAGUUAACAUUCUUUUUCAACCAAAGAAUGUUGAUGAUUUUUUCUUUAUCUGUACUAGAAUGAAUUUGAUAACAUUGGUACAGUCUUCUAUUUAGAGGCAACCAAGAUCGAGAGUUUGCUUGUGCAAAUAAUGGGUUAAAAUUAAAAUCCAUUUGACGAAAAUUCCACAAGCAAAUGAUCAUCGAUUUUUUCAUAAUAACAAACUACGUAACUGUAGUAAAAGGAAAAUAAUAAUAAUCCUUCUAAGGAAAAGAAAACUAACCACAAAGGUGAAAAAACUAAGAUGAAGAUGCCAUAAGUAUGGGUGAUUUUAAUUUGCUGUGAAGACAACGGAAAAUAAAGGCUUAAAUAUGUAAAUCUUUCAUGUAAUUUGACGUGGUGUUGGUUUUUGUCCUUGUAUCUUUUUUUUUUCUUUCUAAAACAACCCCCCGUGAGUUAAUGACUUUCUGCUUUUUGUCCCUCCCAUCAAACUCUUACAAAAACAUCUUGAUGGCUAACGGCGUGUGACGUGGCGGGUGCUGACUUGCCCAAACACGCUUAUGUGUAGGCAUGGCAAUGGGGCAGGGUGCGGACGGGUUUUGUCUUCCCCAUCCCCAUCCUCUACUCCCAUAUACUUAUUUGUUGCCCUACCCAUAUCCACCGGGGAUGAGAAAUUGAAUCCCAUCCCCGUCCCCAAUGGGUUCAGGUAUUCCCACCACAUUCCCGUCCCCGUAGUGAAUCCUUUUUUUUUUAAUAAAAAAAGAGUUUUCUUUAAGCUUCAAUGGUAAUAUUGUAAUGCAUUAUCCAACAAUUUGCGCUCAUUUUAACAUUUCUUACUAAAUAAUUCGUUUACUCCUUUAACUAUCAAUGAAAGUUCUUAUAUCAUGACAAUUAUCAAACCAAAUAAUAUGGCAUAUCAUUAUCAAUCCCCUCAACAAAAAAUAAACAUACCUUUCUACAUUCAGGUAGGGUUUGGGUAUGGGUUCAGAGUGGGUACAUAUAUCUCUGUUACCCGUCCGGUACCCGUAUUUUGAAAUCGUGAAAAAUCCAAGCCCAUACCCGAACCUAGUCAAAUCGGGGUUGGUUUGGGUGGGUACCCAUGGGCAUGAGUUUUGUUGCCAUGCCUACUUAUGUGGAUUGACAGAUGUUCCCUGACUAGAGUACAUGGACCAAAACAAAAAACAAAAAGUUACAGUGGGAUGAAAUUAAAAACACAUAAAUAACAAAAUUUGAAAUUUAGGCAGCCUUCUAGAUGAUCCCUGACUAUGUUAUGGGGACCAAAACCAAAAAUUUGAAAAGGCAUUUUUGUAACGAAGUUUGGCAGGAGGGACCAAAAGCAAAAAAAUAUUUAACUUACAGGGGCUGUUUUAGAAGGAAAAAAAGGAUACAUCAACGAAAAUUAAGAACACGUUAAAUUACAUGGACGAUUUACAUAUUUAAGCCAAAAAUAAAUGUAUAUUUGAUUGACAACAUUAAAAGCAAGAGGGUGAAGGGGAAAGCAAGUGAAAACAAACCACCGUGUGCAUCAAAAAAGUUGUUGACAAGAAUGUACUAAGCUAUAAAAAAUUGGACAAAACUUAAGUGGUUCUUCACAUAAAAUCCACAUUUUGUGGUUAUAACAAACUUCAAAAAUAUUAUGGAUUCGAAAAAUCAUCCAUAGUUAUGAGUAUUUUAUUUGAAGAAUCGCACCAAAAGCAUCUAAAAAAAUGCACUUGUUGUAAUAAAUUUUCACAUGGAUUCCACCAAUAUUAACAAAGAGAAAUCAAACAAAAGCAUGAAGUUACAAAAUAAAAGCAUGAAGUUUAUGGCCGUUGCUGGCAGUCAUCUUCAGCUACGUAGUUGCUACUACUACUGCUUUCGUCCUCUUCAAUUGUCCCAUGGACCAUGGCUAUAUGUGUUUCCGGUUAGAUCAGAAUAUUGUUUUUCUCUGGAUUUUGCGAAGAUGUAAAAAUGUAUAUCAAUUACCUAACUCUAUAGAAUAUGGACCAGAACCCUUUCGCCACCACUUGAAGCAUCUAGCAUAUAGCUCAACAAGAUACCUGUUAUCAUCAUUACUUCAAUGAUUAUACAGAGGAUACUAUAGGAUAUGUAUAGCUCAAAAAUUGCAAGACCUAACGACUUUUGAAGAAGCAACUAUUAAACUUUUUUAACUCUCACACAAGAAAGAUCUAGUAGACUGAUCAGUGCACAUAAUAGAUCCAGGAUCACAUAAAGAAUCCACAACAUACAAACCUAAGAGAAUAUUUGAACUCUGAACACACAAGUGAAGCCAUGAGGGUUUGACAUGGAUUUUAGUUCCAGAACAACAAAAGGUAGCUUUUGAUGCAAACAAAACAAUUCCAGCUUUUGACUAAGUUAGAAGUACUCAUAUAACCAUAAAUUUGGCCCUUUCAUUUAAAGAAAAAAUUGGUGCUUUCCUAAAAUUAUUUUAUUUUGUUGCAGAAAAACGGCUUAGAGCAUCAAUCAGUCAAUCUUAAGGGUAAAAACAACAUUUCUGAUCAUGAUGAUGGCAACAAUAAAUUCAAUAUUAGAAGCAUGGAAAAGAAAUAUUAUCAAUUAAUUUAACAGCAACGAAGAUGCUAAUGUAGAUGUCUCCUUUUACGUAGAAAUGUUUGCCUCCAAUUACAUUAACAUCUCCAAAUAUUACUAUUCUAAUGGUGGACAGCGCCCUCUCUGCUGCUCUCAUUGCCAUUUCAUAAAUUUUAUCAUCUUCACAGGCAAUCAACAUUUUAUGACCCUUUUCUGCAGUAUAAUCAUUACAAGGUUUACCAGGAAUCGAUGUGCAUGAAUAUAAAUCAUAUUGUCUAAAACACGAACAACACAAACACACAACAUUAGAAGCAGUUGCUGAGUAUUUGUAAUUGGUGAUUCCAACCAUCUUAUUGAUUAAUUUGGUCCAAAACCAUCAACCUUUUCUUCUUGCGUUCAUAGUACUAAACAACUAACUGAUUAUAAUCAUGAAAAUCUUGUUCAUAGCAAUAUCCAUUAUGUGUAUUUCGAACUUCUUGCCCAUUUUGAUUCAGCAUUGGGAAUACUAAUUCUUUCUUCAGCAACCCUAUUAUAAAGCAAAUUAGAUUUAUGAAAAAUUAUGUGUAAAAUCAAAGAACAGCACGAUUAAAGGAAAGAACAGGAAAAGUGAGAUUGCGAAGAGAAUGGAAGAUACCUUGUAAGAAAGAUAGUGUUAUCAGAGGCAUUGAUGAGAACUGAAUUAUCCCAUACCUCUCCUGCUUUCCCCAUUCUUGCAACCUCAACGGAGCAUAGACCUUCUUCCUGAAACCCUUUAAUACCUAAACCUUAGUAGUCAUUGGUUGAUUCCUUGGAAGAAGGGCAAGAAGGAAUGGAAAUGAAGACUCACCAGUCUAUUCAUUUUUUAAAAUCGGCCAAAUAUUAGUAUUCUAAUAUCUUCCACAAGAUCAAACCGUAAAACUAACAAACCCCGCUUUAUCAGAGUGAACAAAAUCGACAUGAACCAGCACCAGUAGAAUAACCCAUACAAAGCCUAUGGUCAUCAUGGCCUCUGAUAGAGAUUCAGUCGGAGGGGAGUCAAAGACGUGAUCAAAUGCUAUCUAAACUGACCAAGAGAACAAUAAAUAACAACCGAUUGUAUUUUUGAAAGCAAAGACAAUAUUAUUAGUAAUUUAGUAAAUAAAAUCAUACCACAAAACAAAAGCAAGCGCUAAGCAACCCAUGAGCACUUAGAUUAGAUGAUACAUGUCUUCUAGCUUAACCAAAGUCUGUAGUCUUAAGAGAGUUUGUUGCUCAUUUAAGUUCCACAAGGCUCGUGAGAUUAGUCUCCACAGCGUAACAUAAAUUCAUUGGAUUGUUAAUUAAUAAAAAUAAGAAUGAACAAAUCAGCAAUCAAUAUAUUAGAUUUUGACUCAACAAGCAAAUACACAAAAGAGAUAAGUCGUUACACAUGAUGAUUUUCCAUAAUAGGAGAUAACACACUAUAUAUUUUGUUUACAAUAUAUAAGACAGUCAACUUCCAAUUUCUAGCUAUGCAACAACGGCUUAUAUGAGAUGGAUGAUGAGCGAGAUGAAAAAAAUUAUAAUGACGGCAUAAAGUUAACAAUGAAAUAGUUUUUUGUUUUGUUUAUAAGAUCAGCGUGUUAAGAAAUCACAACAUGUAUAUCCAGAUUUAUAAUUUUAUAGUUUCAAUAAUUUUUGAGUGGAUUUGCUAAGUAAAAUUUGUAUAAGACUCAUGACUAUACUCUAAUUCUAUUUGUCGACAUCAAUCUUGCAAUACGGAGGCCGCGGCUCCGAUGACCAAUAUGAAAAGUAGGGUUAAGUGUUACACCAGUAAAUAAGUUAUAUAAUAGGUUUAAUGGCUCUUUCUUUCAAAAAAAAAAAAAAAAAAAAGAGUAAGUAAGUUAUAUAAUAGCUUUUUUUUUAAUUAUUUGGAAGGAGAGUAUCAAAUGGUGAAAUCAUUGAAAACGAUAGAAAUUACACAUUCGUCUUUUAACUUAAUUUCGAUUAACAUUUUUGUCCCCCUAUCCUUAAAAAAACAUUUUCGCCAUUUUUUUUAUUUUUCUUUCGAUUUAAUCAUUUAUGUUAUAAUCAAGUAACAUUUUCGUCUUUAUCUUUUUUUUACUUAAUCUUUUAUGUUAUAAAACGUCAAUAAUAUAUAGUUUUUAUGGAGAUUUUUAAGCGAAAUAUGAGUUUCUAUGUUUGUAUGAUAAAAAAUUGGGUUUGUUCAUGAGUUUGACGAUUUUUUUAUAAGUUAGUUUUAUGAUUUUUUUAUUAAAAAAAAAAGUAGGACAUUUUAUAAUAUAAAAGAUUAAAUCGCAAAAAAAUAAAAUAACGGAAGUGUUACUUGAUUAUUACAUAAGAAAUUAAACCGGAUAGAAUGAUUUUAAUAUUUUACUUAAUCAAAAGAUAAAAAUUUAUGAGUUUAAAUUUAGCCUUAAAAAAUAUAGUAACAACGAUUAUUACAUAAAAGUUUUUUUUGAGGGGCUUAGGCCCUCAUUUUUAUCAAAUAAAAAUUAUAAAGUUUUUGAGGGAUAACUUUGCUGUUCUUGUGAUCUUAACCAACUUAAAAAAUAAAUCUCUGCAUCAAAGGCAAAUAAAUAUUUAAAUUUGAUUUAUUACUAGUGUAUUUUUUUGGUGGUGCUCGAAUUAUAUAUAUAUAUAUAGGGUGUAUCAAAUGAGAGGACUUUUAUAGUGA